rnacentral:lncRNA from 1 species
GAAAUUAGUGGUUACAGGUGGAAUCCUCGGUGCUUUGCUACUUGUUCUACUGAUGAUUGCAGCAUUUCGGGUAUACAGCGCUGAUAGGAAGGAAAAAGAGAGUCAAUUAAGAAUUGAAAGAUUCUUGGAGGAUUACAAAGCACUCAAACCAAGCAGGUAUUCGUAUGCAGAUAUUAAGAGGAUUACAAAUCAAUUCAAGGACAAGUUGGGCGAAGGAGCCUAUGGAACUGUCUUCAAAGGAAUGCUCUCUUCUGAAUUCUUUAUUGCUGUCAAAGUCCUCAACAGUUCUAAGGGAGAUGGGGAAGAGUUCAUAAACGAAGUGCGAACGAUGGGUCAUAUCCACCACGUCAACGUGGCUCGCUUGGUUGGAUUUUGUGCUGAUGGAUUUAUACGAGCUCUUGUUUACGAGUUCUUCCCCAACGGUUCCCUGCAGGAUUUCAUUUCAUCCGCAGGUAGUAAGAAUUCCUUUCUUGGUUGGGAUAAGCUGCAAGAUAUUGCCCUAGGCAUAGCCAAAGGAAUUGAAUACCUUCACCAGGGAUGUGAUCUACGAAUCCUGCAUUUCGAUAUCAAACCCCAUAACGUGUUGCUAGACCAAAACUUCACUCCAAAAAUUUCUGAUUUUGGUUUGGCCAAGUUAUGUUCCAAGGAUCAAAGCUUGGUGUCCAUGACUACAGCGAGGGGGACCAUUGGCUACAUUGCACCUGAAGUGUUCUCCAGGAAUUUCGGAAAUGUGUCUUACAAGGCAGAUGUUUAUAGCUUUGGAAUGCUGCUGCUUGAGAUGGUAGGAGGAAGGAAGAAUAUUGGUGUAACCAUAGAUAACAAUACAGAUGAAAUUUACCAUCCACAGUGGAUUUAUAAUCUUCUAGAGGAAGGGGAUGACCUACGAAUCCAUAUUGGGGAAGAAGAAGAUGGUAAAAUUCCAAAGAAACUUGCAAUUAUAGGGUUAUGGUGUAUCCAAUGGCACCCGUCGGAUCGUCCUUCCAUGAAAACAGCGGUUCAAAUGUUAGAAGGAGGGAGGAGAAAGCUUGACUGUGCCGCCUAAUCCCUUCAUGCCUACAGGUCCUACAACUAGAAAUGUAAGACGCCUAGAGCUAGAAGCAAUUGCUGAAUUAGAGUAAAAUGUAUACGCAAAUGUAUAGUAACAUUCGCAUUGAAUGUGUAAUGAUUCAAACCUAAGGGAUAUUUUGAUAACCAUUUCGUUUUGGUACCAAACAAAAGAAGUUUGUUUUCUCUCCUUGUUUAAGCAUUAGAUGCCAAUUAUUGUUUAUCAUUUUUAAAUUUAUAUUUUGUUACAGUAGAAGCCUAGAAGGAAAUCGAGCACUGGACUUACCAAAUUCUAACUCGUUUCUACACACCAAGAGCUUGAUGAUUUCGGCUCUUAUUUAUAGUAUUUAAGCUAUAAGCCGUGACAAUAAUUAGAGCACUAUCAUUUGUUGUGAGCUUCAACUGGUUAGCAUUUUUGUAUGUUUUAAACUUUUAAUUAGAAUAUAUAUUUCAUGUAGACUUAUCUUGCCAUAAAGCAUGUCAUCCCCUCCCAAGUUUUUCUCUUCGCGUUGAGUUUGGGAUACGAAAACUUGCCAAACAAAGUGGAUUGAUUAGUAACCGAAGCUUAUUAUUCGACUAAAUAUUAUUUGGAAUUUUAAUUAAAAGAAACAAUAUGAAUCGUUUUUGUUUGAUUUGAAAACUAUAAAAUGAGGAGAUUAAAUUGUUAGUUGUUAGGAGUAGAGAAAUUGGUAGAGAUCGAAUUCAUACAAGAAUGUAUAGACAUUAUUGUGCUUUGUCACAAGGAUAAAUCACAUAAAACAAAAUGUAGUACUUUGAGGAUGGAAGAAACUUCAUGGAUGACGGGUAAUCAACACAAUAUGGGUGGGGAUGCAGAGGUGACGCGGAAGGAAUUGGCGGGCUGGUGGAAGUGGGUUGUGGCAUGCAGAGAGAGUGGGGUUGGGGACGCAAGAGAUUGCGUAGAAGGUAGAGGCGGGCGUGAGGGUGACGUGAGGGCAAGGGAAGUAGCAAACCGUGUGGGCUGCUGUGGUUGAUCCACUAGGGUGGCUGGAUAGCCUUUUUGACCAAAUUAUAAAGCGCAUAGACUUUUUGACCAAGAGGAUAGUCAACAAAUAUGCAACGUUUUGCACGGGUAUCAAAUUUAUGAGUGGGAUGUGUAAGAACCAAUAAAGCCUCCUAGAGAUCUAAGUCAAGUUAAAUAAACCACGAAUAACCAAAACAAUUAAUAUACUACAAGUAUGAAAUAUAAACCAACUUGCAGCAGUAAUAGAUGAAACCAUGAUCAAACAAGUAGUAGACCUUCUCCUCUCUGUCAAAACCAAUAAUACUCAAACUAACAAUAGGUCUUAGUUCGAUAAUGAGCGUAUGUUUUGUAAGAGCAGAGGCUACUAUUUAUAUACAAUCAAUCUAUGUAAUUCUCCUAUUAGAAUCUUUAUUCAACACUGAAUAAGUUUACCUUAUUGUAUACAAAGUGUUAAAACCAGUUUUCAUACUUUCAUUCAAUCCUUCACAAAUAAGGAUUAAGUAUACCUUUUUACAUUGGGACUUUUCUAUACGGAUCUGAAACAAAUAGUAGGCCUUAGGAAUUAUAAUCAUGAUCAUAUUCUUACAUUCUCCCACUUGAUCAUGACCCAAAACCAUCGCACAACAAUUCAAAUCAUUAUAGAAGUGAUCACUAAAUGUCAAUGAAAAAUUACUUCAUCACAAACAAUCUAUCAAUGCAUUUCAAAGUACUGAAUCCAGAAAUUCACACUCUUGAUACAAUACAGAGCUAAUUUCAAAAUCACAGAUACUUAAUCUGCACCUUUGUAACAUUGUGAACCAACUGAUUAAAGACAAACUCAAAACAAGUUUGCUCCCACUUUUGAAGCCAAAACAUUUAAUAUCAACACAUGAUACCAAAUCGUAAUCAUCUCAAUAUUCAAACCGCUUAAAUAACAUGAUUCGUAAUCCAAGUAAUUACUUAAACCAAACUCUUGAAAGAUCAUAAGUAAUACUAUGAACAACACUUUAUAAUUCAGCCAAUUGCUUUAUCAAAUAAAAAACUGACUUUAAAGCAUUGUAAGAACCAUAAAACAAAAUUUUGUCUUCUAGAACAAUUAAUCACAGAUAAUCUGGAAAAAUUGAACCCAAAUGAAAACAUUCGAUUAUUCAAAACUAGCUAAAACAUAAAACUAGUUGAAACAAAAUAAUUGAAACAAAACUAACUAAUAAACCUACAAAGAUGUCAUCACCUUUAAUACUUCUGUACCAGCAACUACUCCCACUGAUCAAAAGAUUCCAGCACUCCCAUUCGAGUAACAUGAGCUUUGAAGACUCCAAUUGGUAAAGCUUUAGUCAAAGGAUCUGCAACCAUGAGAUUUGUACUAAGAUGUUGCACUUCUAUAGUUCCUUUCUUUACCAUCUCCCAAACUUUCAGGAAUUUUACAUCCAUUAGUCUACUAACAGAAUUCCUCUUAUUGUUUUUAGAGAAAAACACAGUUGAAGUGUUGUCACAAAACAUCUUCAUCGGCUUUUGAAUUGAAUCCAUUAACUUCAACUUACUUAUGAAAUUCUUGAGCCAAUUAGCUUGCUUGCUGCCUUCAAAACAGGCUACAAAUUCUGCUUCCAUGGUGGAUGUUGUUAUGAUAGAUUGCUUAGAACUUUUCCAUGAAAUAGCUCCACCUCCAAGCAUAAAGACAUAACCUCCAGUGGAUUUUCUUUCAUCUAAGUCUCCAGCUAGAUCUGAAUCAGUAUAUCCAGUGACUUCUAGAUGUGGAUUUCUGCCAUAUAUGAGCAUGAACAACUUGGUCCGUUGCAGAUAUCUCAAUACCUUCUUCGCCGCAGUCCAAUGAGCUCCACCUGGAUUUGAUUGAAACCUAUCCAAGAUGCCAACAAUGAAGGCAAUAUCAGGUCUCGUACAAACAUUUGCAUACAUCAAACUACCCACCAAAAAGGCAUAAGGUUUGUCUCUCAUCUUUUCCUCUUCAAUUUCACUCUUGGGACAUUGUGCUCUGGUGAAUAUAUCACCUUUAUUGAUAGGAACGUUGCCUCCUUUGCAAUGCUCCAUGUUGAACCGAGUUAGCACUCUAUCAAUAUAACCCUUUUGAGAUAAACCCAAAAGUCUCCGCCUUCUGUCUCUCACAAUCUCUAUCCGAAGAACAUAGUGUGCUUCACCAAGGUCCUUCAUUUCAAAAUUAACACUAAGCAUGGACUUAGUGUUCUGCAGUAAUUGAGAACUAGAACUAGCCAGUAGUAUGUUAUCGACAUAUAGCAUCAUUAUAAUGAAAUUUGGUCCACUGAACUUGAUAUACAUGCAAUCGUCUAACUUAUUUUCAGUGAAACCAUGAGCUGUAACUACUUGAUUUGAGAUACCAUUGCCUUGAAGCUUGUUUGUGACCAUAAAUUGACUUAUUUAAUUUACAAACCAUAUCUUCCUUCCCCCUUUGAGCAAAUCCAAUUGGCUGCCUCAUAUAAAUAUCUUCUUGUAGCUCUCCAUUAAGGAAAGCCAUCUUGACAUCCAUCUGAUGCAGCUCUAAAUCGAAAUGCGCAGUCAAAGCCAUUAUGACCUUCAUGGAAUCUUUUGAUGAAACAAGUGAAAAAGUAUCGUUGUAGUCAAUACCUUCUCUUUGAGUGAACCCUUUUGCAACUAAUCGAGCUUUGUACCUUUCAAUUCUACCUUGAGAGUCUCUUUUCGUUUUAUAAACCCACUUACAACCUAUAAGCUUGAUUUUGGAAUUAGAUUCUACCAAUGUCCAGACUUUGUUUUUGCUCAUCGAUUCCAAUUCCUCAUUCAUUACAUUGAUCUAUAAGAUUGAUUGUGAGCUCUUUAUAGCUUGAUUGUAGGUGAUGGGAUCAUCAAUAUCACCUAUGUCAUACUCAGAUUCUUGCAAAUAGACAUAAUCAUUUGAUAUGGUUGACUUCUUUGUUCUUGUCGAUUUUCUUAAUUCUGGUUCAGCUCGAGGUGGUUCUGAACUGUCAACUUGAUGUUGUGUUUGCACAACAUGAUCUUCCAGCCGAGUCUGUUCAGAUGUAGUUUCUGUUUCAAGUCCACAAUCUACCAUUUGAUGAUCUUCUUCUUCAUUUGGACUAAUCUUUUGCGGGAAUAUGGGAAGAAUCUUGUAAUUUUCUGCAGGAGAGACAUAUUCAUCUAAGAUUUGUUCCUCAAAAUUAAAUUCUUCUUGAUUCAGAUCUGCCACAUCUUGGUCUUAUAGAAAAACAGCAUUGUGUGACUCUUGAAUUCUUGAAUGAGCUUGUGGAUCAUAAAAGUUGAACCCUUUGGACUUUUCGCAGUAGCCAACAAAAUAACAAGACUGAGUUCUUGCAUCUAAUUUCUUCUCAUGUGGAUUAUAGAACCUUGCUUCAGCCUUGCAGCCCCAAACAUGAAAGUAAUCAAAAUUUGGUUUUCUUCCAGUCCAAAUUUCAAAAGGGAUUCGUGAAACAACUUUGGUUGGAACCCUGUUGAGUAUAUAAGUUGCUGUUUUGAGUGCUUUUCCCCAUAAGAAUGUUGGAAGUUUAGCUCUAGACACCAUGCUUCUCACCAUCCCAAUCAAAGUUAUGUUCCUCCUUUCUGAGCCUCCAUUCUGUUGUGGCGUUCCAGGUGUCGUAUAUUGUGCCACAAUGCCAUGUUUCUCCAGAUAAAGAGCAAAAGGUCCUUUCUAUUGACCUGCCUCAGUAUACCUGCCAAAAUACUCUAUUCCCCUAUCCGAUCUAACAAUUUUAAUAGUUCUAUUUAAUUGUCUCUCAACCUCAGUUUUAAAAAUUAUGAAGCAACUAAGGACAGCUGAUUUUUCACUAAUGAGAUAAGUAAAACUGAAUCUUGAGAAGUCAUCAAUAAAAUUCACAAAAUAGUUGUUUCCACAUAUAGUUUUAACUGGAAAAGGACCACAUACAUCAGUGUGUAUGAUUUCAAGCAGAUUUUGACUCCUAGCUUCUAAUUUUCUAGUAUUAGUCAAUUUCCUUUUCAAACAAUCAACACAUUCACUUUUGGUUUGAAAAUCAAAUGAGGGAAUCAAAUUGGACUUAGAUAAUUGUAAGAUUCUCUCUUUCGAAAUGUGUCCCAACCGUUUGUGCCACAAAAUAUUAGAAUUUUCAAAAUCAUGCAUCCUUUUGGUGUUUACAUUUAAAACAUGCACAUAAUCAUUUUCAAGAGAACAAUCCAAUUGCCAAAGGUUUUCACGUAAAUAAGCUUUUCCCAAAACUGGGUCUAAAUUAUUCUUUUGAAAAAACUUUAUGCCCUCAUCAUCCCCAAGAAAAACCAAAUUAUGUUUAGUUAGUUUUGAUGCAGAAACUAGGUUCCUUCUCAUUGUAGGCAUAAAAAGUACAUCAUUUAGUUCAACUAUAAAACUAGAAGAUAAUUUUAGUUUCACUUUCCCUAUAGCUUCUACAACAACCUUAGUCCCUUCCCCAACAAAAACACUAUAAUUCAUUUUAUUUGUUUGUUUUUGUUUUUCAAAACCAUGCAAUGUAUUUGUGACAUGAACUGAUGCACUAGUAUCAAACCACCAAGAUUUAGCAGGAAUUUCAACCAAGUUAGACUCCUCACAGACAUAGACAUCAAUAUUACCCUUACUCCUCAGCCAAUCCUUAAAAGUUUCGCAAUCUUUUCUAACAUGACCUUUGGUUUUGCAAAAGACACAUUUAAGCUUAGUUAUAUCUUUAAUUUUAACUUUAAUAUUGUCAUAUUUCUUAGAGGAUUCAACAUAUUUAGCAGGCAUACUAGAUUUAGAGACAUUAUCAUAAGACUUAGAGUUCUUACUUGGAUUAAUUCUGCCACCCUUCUUGCUCUUUCCUUUGGAUGCAUGUACAAGGUUUACUGCUUCAAUUUCCUUGACCUUGUCUUGCUUCAGUCUUUUCUCUUCUUGGACACAUUGAGCAAUGAGCUCAUCAAGUGUCCAAAGAUUCCCUUGAGUGUUAUAUGAGACUUUCAGUUGACAAUAUUUAGCAGGGAGUGCUUGAAGCACCAUAAAAACCAGUUGAGUCUCUGAAAUAUGUACAUCCAUUGAGUUGAGUUCUCGGCAGCAUCUGAGAGUUUCAGAAUAUGAUCCCUAAUUGAGCCAUUGCCCUCACACUUGUAAGUUGUCAAGAGUGACAUGUAGUGUCCAAUUUCAGCCUUCUGAGGUUCUUGAAACUUCUCUUCAACAGCUUUGAAGUAAUCAACAACAAGGUCAUGUUGUUUGAUACCUCCUCUAACAUGAUCAGUCAUGCCAGCCUCCAAAAUGGACAAUGUCAAUUUAUUUGAUCUCCACCACCUCUCGUGCUCUGCUUUCUUAGCCUUGGAACUUUUGUCAGUCAAUAAUGGGGGUUGUGGAUUGUCAAUUGCAAUGUCAAAUUCAUUGAGUAUCAGUAGCAACUUGAUCUCGCGUCUCCACUUCUUGAAAUUACUUCCACCAGUAAGAAUCGAAACACUUGCCAAAUUCAAGGGUUUCAGUGAAAUUGCAGCAGAUCAUAAUGAAAUCAGUAAACAUGAACCAAUAGGUUCCUGAUUUCUCUACUACUAGUUAAACUGUACAAAACAAAAUUUGAACCAAUUUGACCAUAUAUGUAGUCCCAAUGAUAAAGGAUACACAUAGAUCAAACAAUUCAAAAAAUGUCCUUUUUUUUUUCUUUCGGAAUAUGUAUCAAUUGAUAGUUCAAUACUUAUCACUCAUAAUUCCAUUUGAUUUACAGAUAACACAAUCUUCAAAAAACAAAAUAUGCAGUAUAUACAUGCAUACAUUUUUGACAUUGAACUGUUGAGUUUUUUUUUUGACCCAUCAAGCAAAACCAAUCAAUUAUUGGAGAUGUCUGGAUGCAAUAAUUUUAGUCAUCUUAAUUAAAAAUAGAUAAUUAAGAUCUCAACUUCUGGCAAUAAAAAUAAAGAAUCACACGAUAACAUGAGGAUCAUAAUUAACAUAUAUGCAUUUUAAAUCCAAUUCAUACAAGUCUAUUGAGUUUGUAUUGCUUUUGAAUCUCAUAUAGUAUCAAUUAGAAUAAGGCACUCAGAUUCAAAAUCAUAGAGAAGUGCAGUAAAUAAAAAAUUAUCACUUUCUUAUGAAUCAGCAAAGAUUGAAUUAGACGAAAAAAGAAAACGCAACACAUACCAGUAAGGAUCCAGAUUGAAAACGAAAUAGUGCAGAGGAAGUAAUGAAUUAUUUGUAAUCUAGAUUGACUACUCUUUAUGAACCCUAAUUCGAUCAGAAAACCCAGUUUUUCUGAACCCCCAAUUCGAAACGACGGCAACUUAAUUUUACCAAACAAACAUUAACUUUGUUUUUUAGUUUUUUUUUUUUUAUAAAGACAGCUCCUGGGUUCGAAACCUUUAGGGGCCCCUUUUAUUUUAUUAUUCGAGUUUUUUAACUAAAACUUAGGCUCUGAUACCACAUGUAAGAACCAAUAAAGCCUCCUAGAGAUCUUAGUCAAGUUAAAUAAACCACGAAUAACCAAAACAAUUAAUAUACUAGAAGUAUGAAAUAUAAACCAACCUGCAUCAGUAAUAGAUGAAGCCAUGAUCAAACAAGUAGUAGACCUUCUCCUCUCUGUCAAAACCAAUAAUACUCAAACUAACAAUAGGCCUUAGUUCAAUAAUGAACGUAUGUUUUGUGAGCAAAGGCUACUAUUUAUACACAAUCAAUCCAUGUAAUUCUCCUAUUAGAAUCCUUAUUCAACACUGAAUAAGUUUACCUUAUUGUAUACAAAGUGUUAAAACCAGUUUUCAUACUUUCAUUCAAUCCUUCACAAAUAAGGAUUAAGUAUACCUUCUUACAUUGGGACUUUUCUAUACGGAUGUGAAACAAAUAGUAGGCCUUAGGAAUUAUAAUCAUGAUCAUAUUCUUACAGGAUGGGCACUCAUUUUCUUCCUUAUUCAUGUUUGGUGUUGAAAAAUAGAAGCCUCCUAAUUUGGUGGCGUUGGAGAAUCCUUUUAACCAUCCAAAACAUGGAUCUAAGGAGUCAGGAAGCAAGAGGAGUUUAUCCAUAUUCAUGGAUACAAGAAGCUAUGAGCAAAGGAAUGAGGACCCCAUUUUAGGUGAUUAUUCUUUGCUUCUACAAAGAGGAUCUACAUAAGUAUAAAGUCACCUCUCUUUGUUUUGAAUUUGAGUUGAGUCUUUGACUAACAAUUACUAGACUUUUAAUUUCAUGAGUUAAGUUUUGUUUUUGAGUGCAUAUAAGCAUGCUAGAGCCUUUAAUUGUCAAUUACAUGUAUGUGUGUUGCUCAAAUGAACUUAGUUUAUCAAAAUUUUCCUUCAAGACCAACUUCUAUGGCAUGUGUGGUUUCUUGUGCCAAUCACACAAACGUUAUGUAAAAAGAACUUACACAUUACAUUGCAUGAUUGACAAUUAACAACACAAUAGUGUUAUAACUGUGUCAUGAAAGUUUUUAUGCAAAGUCACUUGAUAUGCUGCAACAAUUAGUAAACAAUAUUAGAAAGACCUAGAGGAACCCACGAACCCGCAAUUCAUUCCAAUCCAUUAAGUAGCUCAUGCAUCAUUUCUCCUCAGCAAAUGUGAUUUUGAAAGGUAGACGAAUUUCUGAUUGCAUUGGUCUAGUUUCAGAAGGGUUCAAUUUUAUGGAAAAAAAUGCUUGUGGUGGUAAUGUGAGCAUAAAAGUUGAUAUUGUUGAAGCUUUUGAUACUUUGAAUUGAAGUUUUCUUCUUCAUGUGCUUUCUAGCUUUGGUUUUCUCGAAUAUUUGUGGACUCGAUGCAUGUUUAGUUUUAGUAUGGUCGGCUCGACUUUCAAUUUUGGUAAAUGGCACACCACGAGGAUUUUUCUCUUGCUCUCAGGGUGUACGUCAGGGAGACCUUCUUUCUCCACUUCUUUUCUGUCCAGUAGAGGAAGCUAUGAGUAGGGGUUUAUCUUUGCUUUUUUCUACUAGUCAAAUUACUGCUAUUUCAGCUUUGUGGGGUUGCUGCCUUCCUACCCAUGUGUUAUAUGUUGAUGAUCUUUUUAUUUUUGGUCAUGGAAGUGUUCGAUCUCUUCGUGCUCUUCGAAAUUUGUUGGAUAAAUAUGGUUGUGCUUUGGGACAACUUAUUAAUGCAACUAAGAGUACUUUUUUAUCUGGGCUCCACCUCUGCCCAUUUCAGAGCACAGGUUUAGAGAUAUCUUGGCUUUCGUUAGGGUACUGGUCUUUUUACUUAUCUUGCGGUACCCAUUUUUUGUGGUAAGCCAAGGAGAAUUCACUUUCAAGUUUUGGUAGAGAAGGCUAAAGCUCGCCUAUCAAGUUGGAAAUAUAAACUUCUCUAAAUGGCUGGACAAUUUCAGUUGGUGCAGUCUGUUUAUCAAAGCUUGUUUCUUUAUAGUUUCUCAGUUUAUCAAUUGUCGGCGUGCCUUUUAAUUCAUCUUACUGCUUGUGCAAGGAAUUUUCUUUGGUAAGAAGACCUGGCUUCUUGAUAGUUGGUAAGUGUUGACUGAAGUAUGGUGACCUAAUCAGGAUGGUGGGCUUGGUCUUCAGGAUUUAGCUUCUUCAAACUUGACGACUUUACUUAGAUUCGGUUGGGAUGCUUUACAAUCCCGUUCUUUGUGGGGCUUUUUUGCUCUUCAGCGUUUUCUUCUUGCACCUUAAAAAAACAAAAUAUCUACUUAUGGUCUUCUGUGUGGCAUGGUUUAAAGCGUGCCUUACCUAUUCAUAAUAAUAAUAGUUGUUGGAUUAUUGGUGAUCAGAGGUUAGUUUCCCUUUGGUUCGACAAAUGGUUAGAUGACCCAAUUAGUAACUCUUCAUUAUCUCUAGUCAUUUCACCUAUGGUUCAUCCUCAAGUUUUAGAUGCUAUUGAAUCUCAAAGUUGGUCUUGCCAUAUUAUUUUACAAAUUUAUUCUCAUCUGUGGUUGAACAAAUUUUACGUAUACCUUAGCCUUUAAAUGCAGAGGAUGACAAAUUAAUUUGGAAACCACCACCUACUAGGAACUUUUCUUUUUCUUUUGGUUCACCUUAUCUGAGGAAUCUGCUGCUAUUCUUUUCUUUGGGUGUCGGAUAUCUAGGCAACUUUGGAGGUGGUUAGCAUGUCAAUUUGGUACUUCUUUGCCUCUUUCAGAUUCUUCAGAUGUGUUUAGGAUGUCUAUAUUAAACCCUUUCUUAUCAGUUGCAUAAUCUUUGGAUUUUUGCAGGUCUUUCUUCUAUUUCAACUAUUUGGAAAGCUCGAAAUAAGUUUAUUUUUUAGGGUCGAUCAAUCUCCCUUCAUCGACUUUGCAUGUCUAUCAAUUCCAGGGUCGUUCAUAUUGGGAAAUUUAUUCUUUGUUACUCUCAAGGUUUGGACACUCAUAUCAUUUCUUCUCUUGGGAUUCGACCUAUCCCUAUCAAGGCGCCUACUGUUCUUCUGCGCUUAGGUCUCCUCUUUGAUUUCCUUGGAUUAAAGUUAAUACAUAUGAUUUGUCUAAAGGAAAUCCUGGUCCUGCUAUGUGUGGAGGAGUUUUCAAGGAUUUCCAUGGUUAGUUUCCUGAUGAUUUCUACUAAUGGAUUGGGCAUCACAACUUUUUUUUUUUAAUUUUUUGCAUAAUUAUUAGCAAUUAUUAUUAGUGUUGAGUUUGUAUAUCUGCUGGGUUAACAUUGCCUUGGUUGGAAAGUGAUUAUUGUAGUGUUAUUGCUGCUCUCCAAUCAACCAAUUUUGAUUUUGCUUGGCCUCUUCAUACACAAUGGCCUACUUGUCUAGAUCGCAUUCGGAAUAUGAUAUUCUAUGCCUUUCACAUAUAUCAUGAAGGAAAUGUUGUUGCGGAUAAAUUUGCUAACAUGGACUUGUCUUCUCCAACUUUGGUGGCAUGACUUCCCUCCACCAGUGGCUUGUGCUGCUUUGUUUUCAAACUAUAUUCGCUUGCUUGGCUUCCGCUUCUCAAACUAAUGUGCAUCUCACCAUGCAGGUAUGUCUCCAUUUCUUGUUUUUUCCUAACCUUGUGGUGUCAUUUGACUUGUUUUGCAAAAUGUCUCCAUUUCUUGUUUUUUCCUAACCUUGUGGUGUCAUUUGACUUGUUUUGCAAGUUUUUGACUUUUUAGGUUUUGCUUUAGAGGGUUUAGGUUUCAUGUCCCCCCUUCUUUUCCUUGUAUCUUUUUUGUUUUCGUUUCUAGAGGGGUAAGGUCUAUGUCCCCCUUCUUAUAUAUUCAUGUUGUUUUUCUCCUUUUCUUGGUAUAAUGAGGGAUAAGGUUUAUGUCCCCUCUGACUAGGUGAAACUUAUUAUUAUUAUUAUUAUUUUGUUAUCCAUAAAAUAUCCUUCAUCCCAUCUAGGUUUUCUAAAAUACAAUAAAAAUUAAUUAGCUCAUGUGCAAGCAAAGUAUGGGCUUCCCAUGCGCAGGAACUUGAAUUUACUCAUAUUUGGUAGUUACGUAGUUUGAUACGAGGUGCCUCCCCAUCGUUCAAUGUGUUCACCCACAUGAUGUUAAGUGUAACCUUCUUAAGGUUCAACAAAAUUAUUGUUUCUAUUAACAAAUGUAAAUAAAAAAUAAGCAAAAUACUAGAUAGAUCACAUAUUUUAUUUUUAUUACAUUGGUGUGCCGUAUUGUGAUAUGACUGCAUGCAUGCCACGUUUUGUAAUGAGUUAUCUCAUUAGAUGUUAAUUGUAUGUAUCACUUUCCAUAUCAUAUGGUACAUCAAUGUAGUAUAAAUAUGUGGUCUUUAUAAUACUAAAAAAAAAAAAAAGUAAUGUUGCAUUUAUCACAUUUUUCAUACCAUUGUAUCAUCUCUUUAUAGAAGCAGGGCACAUCAACAUAUGUGUCUCAUCUCUGUUAAAAAAGUGAUACAAAUAUGGUAUGAAAAAUAUGAUAAGAGUAGCAUUUACAAAAAACAAAAUCUUAAAGUUAAAUGAACUGAACAAACAUAGAAAAUUUGAAAGGUACUGUUAGCAGUUCAAUCCCACGAAAAACAGGGGGUGGUCUUAAUCAACACAGAUGAGACGUGCAAUUCAUCUGUAAAGUUCAAUAAUUUUCAUUUACCACAGCUUAACAUAAACAAGCUUCGUCAUGCAUAAAUGUGGAACUUUAUGAACCAAAGUAGGCAGCACAAACAGGAUAUGAGCGAAAAAUGACACUCUCAAUAGACUGAAUGGAAUUGAGUAAAAACAAUCUCACAACUGAUGAGAAAGAUCAUGAAAAUUCCAAGUUAUCCCAUUAGUGUUUAAGACAAGAUGCCAUGAAGAACGUCAAUACUCUGCAUAGCUAUUCUCACAAAUGGUAUGUACAACAUUAUUAUUCCUGGUUACUUCCAAAUAAAAGCUUUUCAAGCACUGCAAAUCACUAUUCAGCUUUAAUGUGUCCCAUCAGUCUUCUACAAAAGCAAAACGACAGUAAUAAGUGCAUCGGUGGCCCUGGCGACGGAAUUUAUGGCGCCUCUUCGUUCUUUCAAUUAUUUCAAAGCUUCCCGGCCCUGUAUUCCUGUACAAAGAUGUGUGAUGUUUUAUCAGUUCCAUUUGGUGAUUGGGUGGGAAAUGAAUUUAAACUCUUCAUUUCAAAUAGUCUAAACCAAAUUGUAUAGAAUGUGAAGCAGAGGGCAAGAGGUGUAGAUUGAAGAACAAUGGCACUAAGAGCAAAACUGAAUUUGUUCAUCGGAGGUAAUCAAAUAAGGAUUAUGCGUGUAAAUCUUAUUUCGCAUGUAUUCUGCUCAUGAUGUUUUAAUGAUGAUUAUUGGUAUAUUCUGCUACGUGUUAUGAUUUUUCUGCUUUCAUGUAAUUAGCGGCUUAGAUAUGUGAAAAAAAAAAAAUUGUUUGGGUUAGUAUUUGAACAUUGGGUGUAAGUGAAAGAAGGCACAAGGAUGCCAAUUGAAAGGGGAAUUGCUCGAAGCCCAACAUUAUACCCAGAAGCAAAUUGAGGCUUUCUCAGCCAAGAGUCAUAAACCACGUGUCUAUAAGUAAAGUGACAAGUGAUGAAGAUUAACCUACUAUCAACAAAGAACACUUUCCAGUGGCAUUACAAGUAAGAAAGCUGAUGACUCAUUACCCUCCAAAUGUUUUCGGGCAAGAGCAAAAGUUACAGUAGUCGGGCUAGUUUGCCUAUAAAAGGAAGAAGAGGCCCCAGAGACAAAGACACUUAACCAAUCAAACAAACAAACAUACAAACUCUGCUCUCAAGCCAGAUUUGCAUCCAAAAGCUGAACACAGCCCAUAUUUAGUCCUUUUAACGCUAGUUCCCUACAAAAGACAUCUUUUGUCUAGUCUAAAAGCUUUUCUACCUCCCUUAGUGGCAUAGUAUCGAUUCCCUUGUGUAAACUUGUUUACCAUCCAUCCCUUUUUAAGCAUACAACUCUUGUAAACUCAAAGAGAAAUGAUUGUAAGAAGUUCAACCUUGCCAGACAAGGUGAAAUCUUGCCCGAAGCUCUUUGUUUGUUUUCUAAAUUAGUAGAUCUAUUGCUUAAUGCAUUCUCCAGUAUGUAUUUAAGUUAUUUCCACCUGUUUUUCUAUUUUAAGAAGUUCAUUUGCAUCUGGAUCUGGUUCGCUUAAAUGAAUAUGCUUUCAUUAGAUAUACUCUGGAACCAAACAAGUAACUUAAGGGGAUCUGGACCCCCUUCAUUUCGAACAUACAAGACUAUGAACUAAAAGUCCUUGUUUACAAGGCAAGAAAAAGAACUUAAUAUGGACUUAACCCAUCCACGACAAUCAUUUGAUAACAAGAAGUUUGAAGUAACUUGGGGCGCAAGUAAUCUACUUAAAACACACUUGUUCUACAUCUGUUAUACUGAGAUAGCAGUGACACGCCUAGAACUUAAUUAGUUUUGAUUAUGAGUCUUAAGGCCUACACCUAAGGCCCCAUAAAGGAACCUUUCAUAACUAACUUUGUUCUCUUCUUGUAGCACAUCAACAAGCAAGAGCCCGACUACACAUCCAAAGUGCCAAUCCCUUGGGGAGCUGUGCUGAGGUCCGAGGAUCCUUCUCCACAGAAAUCUUUGCCCGAACAUAGUUUUGGCACGCCCGGUGGGAUUCGAAUACUAGUCUUGUAUGCCAAGAAGAAGGAAGAAGGAGAAAACCUUCAAGUGGAACACAGAAUACGAGCUACCCCGGUGUCUACCAAGAUCAAUCAUGACAGCUCAUCCAAAAGAUUUCCCUUCCCUACGAGGGCUAGCUAUUUUAGACAGCUCGACUUCACCUGAGAAGUCAGGGAGGAAGGUGACCAAUGAAGACUUGCAAGCCACCAUGAUGCAAGUAUUGAAAACUAUGGAAAAUAUCACUUUGGAAAUCGGAGGAGAAGUGAGUAGACUUUGUUCUUUAACAGGGAGUCUACAAAGAAGAUUAGAUCUGGAGUACUUUACUCCAAAUAAUGGUCAUUUCAUGGAAAUGGUGAAAGAAGCAAACCCUGAAAGAGAACCAGUUAUCCCCCUAUUUCCUUUACUGGAGGAAAAAAAGGAUGAAGGAAAAAACAAUGAGGGAUUUAGAGUUAGUGAACCAGUAGUGGAGGAAAUCCUAUAAGCAAAGUUGCAUGACCCCUUAUUAUUUUCACUAGAUAGUAGAGGCAGAACGAGAAAGACAGAAAGAAGUAUGGGAUGCCCUAUGUAAUCGGAGAGUCCAGUGGGAAAAAAGAUUUCACAACUGUGGACAAACCUCCUCCUUAUAGGCCACCACCAUUGGCUAAUAAGGGAUGAGAGCCUAGAUGGAGAAAGCCCGAACCAAAAAAGGAAGCUUGCUUGGGCAAUGAUCCUAGCGCGAAGUGGGAAUUUCCUUACACCCCACUUAAUAAUACAACUAACCAACAACUCAGAGAUGAGUUAGCCAAGUUAAGAAGAAUGAUAGUCUACAAUGCUAACCUCAGGCUCGCCCCACUGUUUAGGAUCACCUACCAGAAGCCAUACCCCGAAAAGAUCGAUGAGCAUAAUCCAUUUCCACUCAACUUCAAGAUGCUCGCGUUUCCCACUUUUAGUGGAAAAGAUGGCAGUGUGUCCUCUAGAGAUCAUAUCUUUAAGUUCUCUAAUCACUGCGUGGCAUUCGAAGAUAAUCCUAAUUAUAAGUUAAGAUUGUUUGGGAACUCGUUGGUUGGUCUAGCAUCUCAGUGGUACUCUCUGUUGCUCUCCAAUUCUAUUGCUAAUUGGGGGCAAAUGGAGAUGGUUUUCCAUGAGCAGUUCUAUAGGAUGGAGCUCAAGAUGUCUAUCAAUGACCUAGUAGAGGUGAAGCAAUAUGAACAUAAGUCUACAGAAGACUUCAUGAUGAGGUUUAGAAGGACAAGAAUGAGGUGCCAAUUCCCUAUCAAUCAUGCUUAGAUUAUAUCUAUUGCUCAGAAAGCAUUGAGGUUGCCUUUGAGAAAAAAGUUUUAUGAUGUACAGUUCAAUGAGUUGCAAAAGUUGGUAAUUGCUGCCACAAAGUAUGAAAAGGUAUUGCUUGAAGAACAACAAGUGAAACACUCAUCCAAGGUCCCUCAUUUUUAUAAAAAUAAAGCUGCAAUUCACCAAGUAAAGUUUGAAGGAAGAGAGCCGGAAGGAAGCGAUGAUCAUGGAGAAGAAAAGAUUAAUAUGUGUGCAGCAGAGAUGACUACGCUUUUUAAACCAUCAACAGUAAAGGGUUUAGUUCAUCCAGUCAAAGAUCAGAAGAUAGUAAUGAAUGAUGGUGGAUUUGUCCCUAUGAACCCCCCUAAGUAACAGAAUUAUUAUUUUGAUUUAACCAAUGCCUCAUAAAUCUAUGAAGAGUUAGUGCGGGCAAGAGUAAUUGUGCCUAAUAGCACCAAGAAGAUGCCAAAGCCAGAAGAAUUAAGAGGAAAUAAAUAUUGCAAAUUACACUACACCUUUAACCAUUCCAUAACCAACCGUGUCCAGUUUAGGGAUUAAAUACACGACCUCAUAGUAAAAGGAAAGUUGUUAUUGGAGAAAUCGCAAGCCAAUAUGAUGAUUGACACAUAUCCCUUCCUAGAAGCUCUAAUAAACAUGAUCAACCUGACUUGGGCUGAGAAAGGGAAGGGAAAAGCCACUUGGGAAGUAAAAGCAGAAAUAAGGCAAGUUGAUAGACCGACAGAAUGAACUAUCAAGUUGUUCGAGAAACCCAAAACAGCCAUAAUUAAAGGGCUGGUAUUAUGUAGCAAGUGCCAGUAUGAAUGUGAGCUAGAGGUGCCAGCAUCAGGAGCCAUUAUUGAUCAAGAAUUGAUUAAAAGAAAAGAGAAAGAAAAACAAGAAGCCCACAGAAGCAUCAUGCGAGCAGUUGAGAAAGAAACCUCCAGGAAUGUCUUCUAAAAGUUAGGAGGGGAUUCUCAACCAAAGGGCUUGUCAGAGGUAUUCAGAAAUUGCGAAGCCUCUGAAGAAGUAGAAGACAAAGAAAGCUAAAAUACCAAAAUGGGUGGUGAAGGUUUAGCCUUCCCAGCCUAGAUAUGAAGAUAGUGAUGUCGGGAUGAAGGGAAGAACAAAUAGUGUAAUAUCCACAUUCACCAAGAAGGAUUCUACUCGACUCGGGGGGAAAUGGUAUGUAGUUAGGAAGGAUGGAAGACCUAUCAAGGAAAUGGGAGCCUCUAUGAUUAGGAGAGUCCAGAGAUAGCACAAAGCUCAUAUGAACUCACUCAAAGUCCCUGCUACAUCAGAAACCUCUGAAAAUGAGAAAUUCGAGAAGGUACGUCAUGCGGAAGAAAUCAACUUCACUAGAGAAGUGAAAAACAGGUAGAAAGAGCUAAUAGCAAGACUAAAGAAGAGGGAGAUCAUGUGCCACAAAGCCCUCAUCCAGGAAAGUACAGAAUCUUGAUGAGGGCUCAAAAGGAUAUGGUGAUGAUGCUAACCCCAAGAUGAAACCCAAAACCAAUAUGCUUUGGAACUAUCUCGCCUGAUAGAGGGUUGCACACACCUUUUUUGGUUAAUACUCUAUUUGAAAACCUGGAGCAAGUAUAGGACUUUGGAAUAACCUGAGAAGAAAAGUUGCUCGAGUUAAUGAUACCACAAAAAGCACAAGUUUGGUUAGAUGAAUUCAUGGACCACAUUAGGGGCAAAAAUGAGGAUGUACCUGAACCUAGCAACUUCCAUGUAAACAUGACAUAUGUUCUAUCUACUAUGUUUUACGUCGAGCCUGAUCAACCUGCCGCAAUGGAGGGUGAUUACUUGGCAACAGAACCUAUGAUGGCAUGAAAAGAGGAAUCCAGCCAGACAGGUUUGCCCGAGCAAAUAAGGAAGGAGCCCGAGAGAGUGUAUUUUGACAGAAUGGUCUUUAGCCACCCGAAUAUGGUCUUAGCUAACCAUUUUAAGCCCAUAUAUGUAACUGCUCAUUUGGAGGGAGUACCCUUUAAGAGGGUUUUGAUUGAUGGAUGAAAUGCGGUCAAUAUAAUACCAUUGAAGCAUAUGAAGAAGUUUGGGAGAAGUGAAGAAGAUCUCAUUCCUACGGUUUUAACAGUCUCUAGCUUUUCUAGAGCUAUCACCAAAACACAUGGAAUACUACCAUUAGAAGUUGACUUGGGGUCCAAGCAAAUCAUGCUAGCUUUCUUUAUAGUAGAUGGUACUUCCAUUUAUGGAGCUUUGCUUAGUAGAGAUUGGAUUCAUCAGAGUCUCUCUGUACCAUCUACAUUACACCAACAGAUUGCAGUUUACCAUGAAGCCAAGACUGGAAAACCAAGAUUUUGGGAGAUAGUGGAGGCCGAGACACGGCCAUUCCCCUCUCUCACAGUUAAUGUUGCAGAAGUUAGCUUUUGCAAUCCUAGUAUUGGGAUUCUCCAGUGCUUAGGAGCUGAUGAGAACGGCCGCCCGACUCAGGUGAUGGCCCAAAAGCUUUUGGAGCAAGGAUUGUUCUUCACAAGAGAUGAGUGAGAUGGACCCUAUAUUAUCCCAACUCCCUAACACCAGUAAUGUCGAAACAAAGAAGAAAUGACCAAGUAAUUGCAGUUAGGUUUUUAAUCAAAAGACUGUUAGUGUAUGGGAGAGAGAGAAAGCAAGAAAGAGAGAGCUUGACCGAGGAGCAAGAGGAAGAAGCUUCAAGCAACCAGAACAGAGAUAAAGAAGAGUUUUUUGGAAAUGAGUUGGAAGCAGCCAUACAAAUGGUUGAAUGUAUAUAUGACUUGGAUGGGCCAGAAGACUUGCCCGAGAGUCCAGAGUUAGUUGAAUUUUUGUGUGCAAGACCUUACAAGCCACCACCAGAGGUUCAAGACCAUUUGGAGACCAUUGAUUUAGGGACUAAACAGAUCAGUAGCUUGUUAGAAGUUGAAGAUCGGGCAAGAAUAGUCAGCCUGCUGCGCGAGUUCAAAGAUUUUUUUGCUUGGUAUUACACUGAGAUGCCAGGUUUAGAUUCAACCUUAGUAGAGCACAGAAUGCCUAUUAAGGAGGGGUGUAAACCUGUGAAGCAAGCAUCACGAAGGAUGUCAAAAGAGAUUGAAGAAAAAGUCAAGGAAGAGAUUUAAAGGCUAGUAAAUGCUGGAUUUAUUAGGCCUAUCAAAUAUGUCAAGUGGUUGACAACAUUGUACCUGUAUUAAAAGCUAUAACUAAUGUAGUUUGAUGUUGUGUUGACUAUAGAAACAUUAAUGGAGCCACGCCUAAAGAUGAAUACCCCAUGCCCAUAGCUGAUUUAUCCAUAGAUGCAGUUGCAAAACAUAAAGUUUUAUCUUUCAUGAAUGGGAAUGCCGGUUAUAAUCAGAUAAAAAUGGUAAAAGAAGAUAUACAUAAAACAGCUAUUAGGUGCCCAGGACAUGUUGGAGCAUAUAAGUACUUAGUCAUGCCAUUCGGGCUAAAAAAUGAUGGUUCAACCUAUCAAAGAGCAAUGAACACCAUUUUUCAUUACUUGAUUGGCAAUAGCAUGGAGGUGUACAUUGAUGACAUCGUGGUGAAAUCUAAAAUUAAAGAACAGCACCUAGUAGACCUCAGACAAGCCUUAACAAGAAUGAGGAUCCAUAAGCUAAAAAUGAAUCCUAAGAAAUGUGCUUUUGGGGUGAGGUCGGGCAACUUUUUGGGUUUCCUUGUUCAUCAAAGAAGGGUGGAAGUCGAAAAAAAUAAAGCUCGGGCAAUAAUGGAAUCACCACCUUCCACCAACAAAGUACAACUACAGAGGCUACUAGGAAAAAUCAAUUUCUUAAGGAGAUUCAUUGCUAACUUGGUAGGUAAGAUUCAACCGCUAACUCCUCUGUUAAGAUUGAAAGACAAAGAAGAGUUCGAGUGGGGUCCACCAUACCAAGAGGCCUUUGACAGAAUAAAGGCUUAUUUGACUUCUCCACCAGUGCUCAUGCCACCUCAGAGGGAAACCUUUAAAGCUUUAUAUUUCUGCCUCUGAAAAGUCAAUAGGAAGCUUGCUAGCUCAAAACAAUGAAGGUGGGAAGGAACAAGCAAUAUACUGCCUCAAUAGAAUCCUUACUGAGGUAGAAACAAGAUAUACACCAGUGGAAAGGUUAUGUUUGGCUUUAUACUUCACUGCCUGUAAGUUAAGGCAUUACAUGUUACUUUGCCACAUCCACAUUAUUGCCAAGACUGAUGUGAUCAAGCACAUGCUGUCAAAACCAAUGUUAACUUGGAGGAUUGGAAAAUAGAUUCUAGCACUUUCAGAGUUCAGCUUUCAAUAUGUGCCCCAAAGAGCGAUCUAGGGGCAAGCAAUUGCAGACUUUUUGGCUGAGCACCAAGAGUCACAAGAUGAGCUUGUUAACAUCCCAGGAACUUUGGAAGUGGCCAGUGUGUGGAUCCCACCAAGCAAAGCCUUCUCGAGCAAAGAAGAAUGGAUCUAGCAAGAGAUAAAAAGAAUAACUAGCCCCUGAAUCACUAAUUGGAAGCUAUAUUUUAAUGGAUCUUGCACUCAAAAUGCUGAUGGGGCUGAGAUUGUCAUUAUUGAUCCUAAGGGUGCUCACCACUGUUAUUCAUUUCUCUUAGAUUAUCAAGAGACUACCAACAAUUGGGCAGAGUAUGAGGCAUUAAUAAUUGGUUUGGAAAUCUUGAUAGAGUUGGGGGCAACUAAAGUUGAAGUGUUUGGUGAUUAAUUAGCUAAAUAGGGAGUACAAGUGUAGACAUAUUACCAUGACUGGUUAUUACUUGGCGGCCACGUAAUUGUUUAGCUAUUAGGGUGCUGAAAUAAUAGUUAGCCAUAUCCCCAAAAAAUCAAAUGCAAUGGCCAAUGAAAUGUUGUAGUUGCCUUCUGGAACACAGAUCCAAGAAAGAAGAUUCAACGUGGAAGUGGAAGUGCAAAUGAGGAAUCUCCCUUCUAUUUUUUAUAGAGGAUUCAACCUAGAUGUGAUGACUAAGGAGCUCGAGAUGGAAGGUUGAAGAUCACCCACAAUUCAAUACUUGAAAAAUUCUUCUUUCCUCAUAAGUAAGAAGAAUAGGCAGUAAGCAACUAAGUAUGUUAUGUGGGAGGAUAAUUUGUUAAGAAAGUCUCCAGAUGGAUUAUUGUUAAAAUGCUUAGGCUAAGAAAAGUCAAUGAGAGAAAUGGCUGAAGUACAUGAAGGAAUAUGCAGAGCACAUCAAGCUGGUACCAAGAUGAGGUGGUUACUUAGGAGAUAUGGUUAUUUUUGGCCCGACAUGGAAGAAGACUGCAAGGCCUAUGCCCGAGGGUGUGAGGAGUGUCAAAGACAUGGACCUUUCCAACAUGUGCCCUCAGUGCCCUUAAACCCCGUGGUCAACUCUUGGCCCUUCAGAGGAUGGGCAAUGGACUUCAUUGGGAAAAUUUACCCAACUUUUAGCAUGGGGCAUACAAUCAUAAUUGUGGCAAUAGAUUACUUCACUAAGUGGGUAGAAGCUUCAACUGUUAAAACUAUCACCUCAAUUGCAGUGAAAAAGUUCAUUAAAACCAAGAUCUUACAUAGAUAUGGGGUGCCCGAGACAAUUGUCACAGACCGCGGGCCAUCUUUUAUUUCAAAGGAAAUAGAAGAAUUUGCAAGUAAGUUCAAGAUAAAGAUGAUCCAAUCUAGUCUUUACUACCCCCAGUCAAAUGGUCAAGCAGAGGCCAGUAACAAGAUCUUGGUAAACAUUAUUAAAAGAAAGGUGGUAGAUAGUCCAGAGAAGUGGCACGAAAAGUUAGAAGACACUUUGUGGGCUUACAAAACCUGCAAAAGGGUAGGAACUAGAACUAUUCCUUAUGCCUUAACCUUUGGGCAUGAUGUUGUACUCCCCAUGGAGAUUAAUGUAAGUUCUAUUAUAAUUCAAAAUCAGUUUGGGUUGCACAUUGAAGAAUAUAUUCAGGCUAUCUGUCAAGGAGUUGAAGAUCUAGAUGUAGCCCGAAUUGAAGCUCUAAAUAAAAUUCAGGAAAGGAAGAGAGUUGUUGCCUGAGCAUACAAUAAGAAGAUGAUUGAAAAACUUCAAGGAAAAGAAUUAGUUUGGAAAGCAGUUUUGCCCUUAGGAGCUCAAGUGAAAGGCUUUGGGAAAUGGAGUCUUACUUGGGAAAGUCCUUUUAUUAUUCACCAAGCACUGGAUAAGGGAGGAUAUUACUUGGCAGAUUUAGAAGGAAACUUGCUAAGACAUCCAGUUAAUGCUAAGUUUUAGAAGAAAUACCAUCCAACUCUGUGGGAUGUCAGAGAUUGUUAUAUUGAAGAGGGCUAGUGAUUUCAAAGAGAAUUAAAGUUAGAAGGUGUAGUAAAACUUAAAUGUAAGGCAAGGAUUGAAACAAGUAAAGAUAUGGAAAGAUUUCAUUUCAUUUCAUAAUAAGGGAAUUACAGUGGCCUCAACCUAACAAAUUUACUUCACCAAAAGUAAUUAUUCUAGAAUGAUAAGUUUGCAUAACUGUGAAUAUUCUAGUAGGCUCAGCCAAAAUAGUACUGCUAUUGAUUAAUUGAGCCUCAUCAUAUUCCAACUCCGAAUUGUCCUUCUUCACUUCUUCAAUAUGUUGAUAAAGUUUACUUAGAAGAGUUCAUUGCUUAGCCCUUAGCAUAGCUAGUUGCUCAUCUAACUUCCAAAUCUCAAAAGUCACUACCUUAUUCUUCUCAUCUGUUGCUGAAUCUUCAUCUACCAGCUGUUGAAUAUGAGUUGAAAUACUGGAUUGUUUCUCCUUAAAACAUCUCACUCGAUUGGCUUGCCUCUCAGCCCUCUGAUGUUGAUCCCUCAAAACCAUCAAGUUCUCAAAAUAAGAGAUGAAGGAUUCAUACUGAGCUUUGGAUAGUUGAUCAGCCUUAAACAGAUCAGUUAUGGCCUUCUCUACGUCGUGAAGAGCCUUGAGGGUAAAGUAUGCUGAGAAAUCAUUCCUAGACUACUCUUAGAUGACUCGACGUUGCUCUUGAAAGCCUGAAAACCCUUGAGGAUCUCAGCUUUGUCUUGAGUUGCCCGAACUCUUUAAAAAGCUCGGGCAAAGCUGCAAUUGUAGAAAUAGGUGUAGGACAAGAGGGCAGCGCCCCAGUUCCUUCAGAGGGCACAACAAUGGAGGAGGUCUCAACAGAAAGAGGAACCCCAGAAGAUGGAGUAGAGGUAAUAGUGGCGGCAGUAGCUUUAACUUCCAUCUUUGGUCGAGGGAUGAGGGUCCCUGUGACCCCAGAAGCUAAAGGAGGUCGUGGAAGAUCUGAUUUGCUUACCAAGCGUGGAGGAGAUAUGCCUGAGCCAUCUUCAAAGCCCUGUUGGAAACGAAGAAAAACAAAUUAAGAAGAAAGAUUAUAAAUCAGAGCAUACAACAGGAAGGCGAGAAAAGGAAAAUUGAUAUACUUAAGUAGAGCUUGGAACCUUGGAAGAAGGUGGAUGAUGAGUUGUUUCUUUUCACUGUUGAGAGGGAUCAUUCCCACUUCCUUGUGAAUAAGGAAUGAUGCAUGAACCUUCACUAGAGACCUAUAAAUAUCAAAGAAAGAAGGCUAAUGUCAGUAAUUAGCUUAUGAAGAAAAGAAAAUAGAAAUAAGAGUACUUCUAUACCUGAGUAGGAUCUUGAGUGGAAAUAGGGAACUCCUAUGUGGUGGUUGCUGGUUGAAAAGAAGCCCGCAGCUAGUCACCUCUGAGACCACAGUGAUCUUAGGGACUAUGGGGUCCCCAAAGGCAGUAAUUGAUGGUUGUUGAGACUCCUAUGUUGGGGAAGACUAGAAGAAAGUAAAAGAUAAGUAUAAAAGAGAGAGAAUGCUUUAACCACAUAAUGUCAAGACAAAACACUCACCGAAUUGUUGUUGUCUUCCACAAAAUGCAGCAUCUCCCUAGUUAACGGAUCAAACAGGGAAGUAGAAGCCACUACCAAGGGAAGAGAGGUUGAAGGAAUAAAAAGAUGAAAAAGUAAAAGACAAGUAAAAGACAAGUGUUAAGGCUCUGAAAUUGGUGAAGAUACAAGUGUUAAGGCUAGAAAAAGUAAAAGACAAGUGUUAAGGCUCUGAAAUUGGUGAAGAUACAAGUUUAAAAAGAUGAAAAAGGACAUACUUUUGAAGGCUGAGCCCGAGAUGGGGAAGCAUGUGUUGGUCGGGCAGGAAGAGAAUAAGCUUCAGGCUGAAUGGACCUUCAUCUCUAAGGUCCUAUUUAAAAAUACAAGUAAAAAGUCAGUGCAAAUAUUGAGAGAAUGAAGAGGAAUUGAGUACUUAAAAUAAAUCAAACAUUUACCUCUAAUUCUUUGAGAGUAGCAUCAAGAACAGGCUUGUCUUUUUUAUAUACCUUCGCUCCCAACGGCUCCUCCCUUGAGACAAUAGUGGGUUUCUUGGUCUCUUCAUCUUGCCCGACGUCUAUCUCUGCAGGGUUGCCUUGGGCUGCAAGUGUAAAGAAACCAAGGAAAGGAUUAGAAGAGGGCAGAUUCAUGAAAAUUUAAUAAAUUACAAGUUAAAGAAGUAAAAGGUACCUAUCAGAAGGAGUUGGUUCUUCUGAUGAAUCAUUUCCUUCCAAUUCUCGAGCUCGCUCGAUUUAGGAUAGAAUUUGAUGGAUAGUUGCUUGAAGAGACAGUCAUGAGCUUCCCAUAUAUCUCUGCCAUACUUCUUAGUCCAUUUUGAUUCCCACUAAGUAGCAAAGCUUGAAGUACAUUCAAAAUUGAAAGCCAUAGGCUUUUUGGCAAUUUUGCUCAUAACCUUAAGACUUCAUUGGGCAGCUCGGAAUGUAACCUCUUGUGGGGGGUGUAGGUGAUAUGAGGUGCUGCAGUGAAUAAAAUCGAAAAAGGGUACAGGGAUGGUUUGCCUGAAGCCUAAUUGCCUGCUGCAGAAGUUUGGAUGAUAAACUUCUAGCCCGUGCUCGUAACGAUCACUUCUUACUCUCCAUGCAAGGUCAUUUGGUUGAAUGUAGCUAAUAAACUUAUCUCUGCAGAAAGUACUACCGUCAUCCCCAAAGGCAUCUUGGAAAGCUUGGUUGAAGAACCAAAGAUAUCUCCAUAGAACCGAUGUUCCUCACUCUAAAUCUGCCCGAGUCUUGCAGACACUAAAGAAGUACAGACAACAAAAGGUAGAAUGGUUGGUAGGAGAAGCCUCCGCCAGGAUUCGGGCAGAAGCAACACCCUUAGGGAAUUCAAGAUUGGGUGCCCGAAGCUCGGGGAAGUACUAUUGUAGCCAUAGCUGGAUCAUCCAGGUUGCCCCAUUGAGGUUGGUCUAGAAGGGGAUGCCUUGGGUCAUCUCAUACAAAAGAUAGUAAAGAUGAGCGAGGAGGAAGGGACUCGUAGCCACAUCAUCAAAAUUGUGCAGAGCUUCCACUAAAGGGAUUCGUUCGACUUUCACUGCCUUAGACUUGUUGAGGAAGACAUGCUUAUUAAGCCAGUAUAGUAGAAAAUACAUGUGAUCUUGGUCUCUGUUGGCGUUGGAAGAUGAAGGGCCAAAUUCCUUUUUCACAAAUGGAAUAAAACCCGUGAAAGAUGUCUCAUAACUCUUGAAAGUAGAAGAGUUAUAGUCUAGUUGGGCUAGGGGACUAAAGCUGCCUGAGCUCUCAGCCCGAAGACCUGCGCCAUAUCAAGGAUGGUUGAGGACAUAGGACCUAUCUUGAAAUCAAAAGUAUUUGUCCCCGAGUUCCAAAAGAGGAGAUAUGUGGUUAACAGCUCGGGCUUAGCAAUUAUCAUGGUCUUGGAGAGCAUUAUCAGCUUAUAGAUGUCACUGUUCCUCCAUUUUCUCUUGAAAGUAGGGUCGAGUUCAUUUACCCACCGCACCCAAGCUUCAUCAUUCAUCAAGGGGAAGCCACGAUGGUGGUGUGACCAUUUGGAGGAAGAAAUGCCCGACUCGGCCAAGAAUGGGUUAGGAGUGAACCAAUUUGCCUUGGGCAUGUUGUUUUCCACGACUACAGGGACUGGGGAGGUCCAUGCAUGCCCUAAGGAGUGUGCUCCUCCCUCCUCGAAGAAAAGUUCAGUAUGCAGGCCUGCCUAAGGACAAUGAAAGUCGUUAAGCAAGCGACGCAUGGUGGAAAUCCCCUCACCAGUCUCGUAGGAAGAUUAAGUUCGAACAACUUUGGGUGCCAUUGGUAAUUUUGAGAAAAAGAUAGGAAGAAAGUUGGAACUAGGAGCAAGAAUCUAGAAAACAGGAAGUACGGGGGAAUCUGGGAAGUGCUGGAAAUUCGAAGGCUUGAGAAUGCUAAGGUACUUAGCUGAAGGGUUUAAGUGAGCAUUAUAUAGUAAUCGAUUAGUUAAUGUUGGAAAACGUGGUUUAGUGCAAGGGUUUUGUUAAACAACGGCUGUCUUAAAUGGUGCAAGUCUCAAGUGAAGGCAUGCGGCGGUGGUUUAAUCAUUAUUAACGCCUCGAUUUGCAGACUCAACAACGAUUAAAAGGGGCACUAUUUGGGUUAGUAUUUAAACAUUAGGCUUAAGUGAAAGAAAGCCCAAUGAUGCCAAUUGAAAGGGGGAAUUGCCCAAAGCCCAGCAUUAAACCCAUAAGAAAAUUGAGGUUUUCUCAUCCAUGAGUCAUAAACCACGUGUCUAUAAGUAAAGUGACAAGUGAUGGAGAUUAACCUACUAUCAGCCCAAGAACACUUGCCAGUGGCAUUACAAGUAAGAAAGCUGAUGACUCACUACCCUCCAAAUGUUUUUGGGCAAGAGCAAAAAUUACAGCAGUGGGGCUAGUUUGGCCAUAAAAGGAAGAAGAGACCCUAGAGACAAAGACACUCAACCAAUCAAACAAACAAACAUACCAACUCUGCUCUCAAGCCAGAUUUGCGUCAAAAAGCUAAACUCAACCCAGAUUCAGUCUUUUUAAGGAUAGUUCCCUACAAAAGACAUCUUUUGUAUAGUCUAAAAGCUCUGCUACCUCCCUUAGUGGCGUAGUAUCGAUUCCCUUAUAUAAACUUGUUUACCAUCCAUCCUUUUUUAAGCAUAUAACUCUUGUAAACUCAAAGAAAAGUUACUGUAAGAAGUUCAACCUUGCCAGACAAGGUGAAAUCUUGCCUGAAGCUCUUUGUUUAUUUUCUAAAUUAGUAGAUCUAUUGCUUAAUGCAUUUUCCAUUAUGUAUUCAAGUUAUUUCCACCUGUUUUUCUAUUUUAAGAAGUUCAUUUGCAUCUGGAUCUGGUUCGCUUAAAUGAAUAUGCUUUCAUUAGAUAUAAUCUAGAACCAAACAAGUAACUUAAGGAGAUCUGGACUCCCUUCAUUUUGAACAUACAAGACUAUGAACUAAAAGUCCUUGUUUACAAGGUAAGAAAAAGAACUUAAUGUGGACUUAACCCAUCCACGACAAUCCUUUGAUAAUAAGAAGUUUGAAGUAACUUGAGGCGCAAGUAAUCUACUUAAAACACAUGUGCUCUACAUAUGUUAUACUGAGAUAGCAGUGGCACGCCUAGCACUUAGUUUUGAUUGCGAGCCUCAAGGCCUAUACCUAAGGCCCCACAAAGGCACUUUUUAGAACUAACUUUGUUCUCUUCUUGUAGCACAUCAACAAGCAAGAGCUCGACUACACAUCCAAAGAAUCAAUCCCUUGGGGAGCUGUGCUAAGGUUUGAGGAUCCUUCUCCAAAGAAAUCUUUGCCCAAACAAAUAUUAGUUAACUUCAGGAAAUGACAGUCUAAUUUACGGAACUAUCUUUUGCAGGCAAAACAAAAACGUUUGGGGCCACGUGAGUUACGUAGGAUUGGUGUUUAGCUUGGUUUACUCCGGGAUUAUAUUUCCUGAGUAGGUAGAAAGAACUCUUUCCUUGACUGGGAUAAGUUGCAAGAUAUUGCUAUUGGCAUUACCAAAGGAAACAAGGAUGUGAUCAACGAAUCCUUCAUUUUGAUAUCAAACCAUAAUGUUUUGCUCGAAUAAAACUUCACGCCAAAAAUCUCUGAUUUUGGUCUGGCCAAGUUAUGUUGCAAGGAUCAAAUCAGUGUCAAUAGCUACAGUGAGGGAGACCAUAGGGUGCAUUGCACCCAAAAUGUUUUCCAGGAAACUGUGUUUUACAAGGCAUAUGUCUAUAAUUUUGGAAUGCUGCUGCUUGAGAUUAUAGAAGGAAAGAAGAAUAAUGGUUCAACAAUAAAGGACACGACAAAUGAAAUUUACUAUCCAAAAUGGAUUCAUAAUCUUCUAGAAGAAGGAGAUGACCAACAAAUCGAUAUUCAGGAAGAAGGGAGUGUUAAGAUUCCAAAGCAACUUCCAAUUUUAGGGCUCUAGUGCAUCUAGUGACAUUCGGUGAGUUGUCCUUUCAUGAAAACGAUGGUCCAGAUGUUAGGAGGAGAAAACUUGACGAUGCAAGCAUCGCUAAAAGGCUCCUACAGUUAAUAGCAAUUGCUGAAUUAGAGUCACAUGUAUAUGUAUAGGCACCAACACUAGUAGUUCUUAGAUGAAUCCAAGCCUAAACAAUUACAGAUGACAGUUCUUCACUAAAUCACUUUAAAGUAAUAAUUUAAUUAAUAAUACAUUAUUGCACUUUCUCAACAAUUUGAUCAUCACCUAGCUGACAAUGAACAUGUUAGCUCCACGUUAGAACAUAUUGGAUUCGAUUUAUUGUCUUGAAUGUCACCCAUAGUCACAGGUGUUUCUUGUGGGCAUAGAGAAGGCCUGAGAGGCAUUUGCAAACAUUCACCAUCUCCUCCAAGCAUUUUGACAACUUUGGACAUCGAAGGGCGAUCACUUGGUUUCAUUUGAAUACACCACAAGGCGAUUAUAACCAUCUUUCUUAUUACUUUCUUUUCCUCCUCUGUAACAUUGUCCAUUUCCAAGUCAUUUCCCACAAUAUACUGAUCAUAUACCCACAUUGGGAAGUACAUUUGGCUUGGAUGCUCUACCGUUGAAUUCCAAUUCUUCCUUCUGCUUGCCAUUUCCAUCAACAACAUUCCAAAACUAUAGACAUCUGCCUUGUAUGAGACGCCUCCAAUAUUUUUGUAGAACAACUCAGGAGCAAUAUAUCCCAGUGUACCUCGUGCUGCCGUCAAAGAGACAAUGCUAUUAUCUACGGGAUACAAUUUUGCAAGCCCGAAGUCAGAAACCUUUGCUUUAAAGUUCUCAUCAAGAAGAAUGUUAUGAGGCUUGAUGUCAAAAUGUAGAAUUUGCAUGUCACACCCUUGAUGUAGAUAUUCAAUCCCUUGAGCCACUCCAAGAGAAAUCUCAUACAUGUUCUUGAUACUUAAGGAGAUACUUCCUUCUUUGGAAUAAAUGUAUUUAUCAAGAGAGCCAUUGGGCAUAAAAUCAUAUACUAAAGCACGCUUUGAUCCCUCGACACAAUAACCAACAAGUUGCACCACAUUAGCAUGGUGAAUCCUUCCGAUUGUAGUUAUUUCACUAAUGAAAUCUUGGCCAUUUGCUUUGGGCUUGCUCAAAACUUUAAUUGCUACAAAACGGCCACUACGUAACUUUCCUUUAAAUACGGAGCCAAAGCCGCCUUCACCCAACUUAUCAUUAAACUUGCAAGUCAUCUUCUUAAUUUCGGAGUAAGAGUACCUUAUAGGCAUGAAGUUGUUAUUGCAUUGCAGAAAGUCUUCUAUUGUACUAUACAUUGACAAAUGUCUUCUGCGCCAUAUAUAUACUAAAAAUGCAGUCACAACUGGAACCCCAAACAGUAGUCUUGCUGGAAAAAAUGACCCUGCAUAAGAAAUAUAUCACCAAAAGAAUCAUAAGAACAAAAACUUAUUUUUCAAAUCCACACUAUAAACUUUUUUCUUCUUUUGAGGUAAGCUUCAGAUCAAGCCACUCUUUAAUGAAUGAGAUAUAAAUUAACACUUACAAAAAAAUCUUUUGAUAAAUUAAACAAGUUCCGAGUCCCCAAAUCACCUCCACCACCCUUCCCCUCCCGCAUUGGCCGACUCCCUUCUCGGAUAGCUACACCGGCCACCCCACCCCACAACCAACCAUUCAUCCUUCCCUCAAGUCUCUCUUUCCCUUUCUCUUUCUUUCUUAUUGUUUCUUCCUCUUUUUAUUGCCCUCCUGUCUUAUGCCGGAGAAGGACACAAGGGACACCGGCAACCUCACAAGCUCUUAAAUCUGAGGUGGGUGACGGCAAAUUUGAAGGUGUCGCAGACCACCCUCAGGUUCAAUAUCAGAAGAGUAAUGCUAAGGAGAUUAAAAUUUUUAAACCAAAUGAUAUGUCAUAAAUAAGAAACACGCACAUUAAUCGAUACUUAAUUACUAAUCUAAUCAUCUUCAAUCAUAUCAUUUAGUUUGCAAAUUUAAUUUAAAAAUUUGGUUUCCUUAACAUUACUCAUAAUCAGAAUGAGAGUGGUAGAGAGCGAGAGGGAAGAGGAGAAAGAAAAAGAAAAGUUAAAACAUUCAAAGAGUAUCGAGUAGUACUGAUAACCCAUGAAUUUUGUUUGAUUUCAGUCAUGAGGUUGGAAUCUAUGCUAAAAAUGGACACGCACGCCCAUGCAUGCACACGCAUAAAUAUAUACAUUAAUUCUUACCGAUGACCAUGAGUAUAGCCGCUCCACGCGCUGCAAUAAAAAUAGCAAAAAGUAAAAAUCAAAUGGAAACGGCUCAAAGUUUGAAAAGUGAAUAAAAAUCAAAGACUUGACUAUAUUUUCAAGAAAUACAAGCUCUUGGGGGAGAAAGUCCCUACAAAUGGAAUUGAAUGGUAACCAUCGAGGAGCGUUUCCUGAAAUAAAUACCACACAAAAUUCAUCAACGAUAAAAUACUAGACUAUCUUUGAGAUGUGCAUAUAAUGUACCACAGUGACUAUUAAAAUAAAUUAGCAUUGAUUUGAGGGAGAAAGUCCUUACGAAAAUAAUAUACGGGUUCACGCAUAUAAUAACCUAGAGUGACAAAACAAUACACAAUUAGCAAUACCACAACGAAUCUUUAGAGUUUAAAAUCAACAAGUUUUGUAACAUAUCUUUUCAAGCAACAAUCGUAAACAUUGAAUUUGAAAGAGACUAGAAAGAUGCUUUUCUUUUCUUUUUGUUUGUUUGUUUUGUUUUGUUUUGGAGAGGGAUCACUUACGGAAUUGAUUCCACAGGAAUCGAAAUAAACCUACAGUAUAACAAGAAAACAACAUUAGCAUAACAACAGUUAGAAAAUAAAAUUCAAGUUGCUGCCAUUGUUGAUACCUGUAUAGCAUAUGAUAAAGCAACAUUUAAUUCAUUUGUCAUGCAAUUGAUAGCGGAACUAAGAUAUGGUUUUGGGAAAGGUCAUGACCCCCCACCCCCCACAACAACCCCAAACUCUUUAAUUUAGAUAAUAUCAUUUGUUCAAAAAAAUAAUCAUCAAUAUUUUAACAAACUCAAUGCCACAAUGAUGGAGAAGAGUGCUGCCCUUGCACCAUGGUGUGAAUUCGAACCGCAUCGGCUCCUAAUCUAACAAACCUAUUGUUUGACAAAAAAAAAAGAAGGGAAAACUAAAGAAAAGUCAUCAAAAACUUUAGUUUUAAUAAAAAUGAUAAAAUAAAGGCGUAAGUAAAUAGUACCAAAAGUGACUUUUCAAGGUAAAAAUGUCCUUAACUUUAAAAGUGAAUAGUACCGAAAAUGUUUCAUUAAGAUUUCCAAAAAAAAAUUAUUAUUUAAACCAUCCCCAUAUUUCUCGUCCUUCACAUCUUUCUCUCUCAAAUUAAUAAUUUUUUUAUAUGUUUAGCAAUCUCUUAACUUCUCUCCUCUUCUUUAAAACUAGAGUAACUAUUCACAAAACUAAACUAAAAAGUGCGCUAUGGAGUUUCUUGGAGCUUGAUUUUCUUAGUUUGACUCUUUAAACUAGCAUUCCAACAUAUUUAAAGAGUCUCAUGGAGAGCUGCAAAGACAAUAAAGGAUGCAACUAAAACGAUGGGUUUAUAAGCUUUAGUUUUUCAUACACCACACUAAAAAUUUCUAUUGAAGCCAUAUCGCUUUGGAUAAUACUUGCAUUCCUCUUUUGGGGAAUGAGCUCAUUCCUCCACUUACAAAUUAAUAUAUCUUUAUAGUAGAAAUUUCAUAAUUGGAACUAUUCAAUCUCCUAGUCUUCAUAUGAAAAUCAUACCUACAAAAAAUAAUUCGAAUCGGAGAUCGUUUAGUCAUCCAAAUGUAUCAAAUAAAUUAAUGGUGUAGGUACCAAGAAGCAUAAUCAUGAUGAAACGUUGAUUUCUUUGAUAGAUUUAGAUAACUAAGUGAUCUCCAACUUGAAUGAUAUUUUAUAGAGUUGAUCUUCAAUUGAAGACUAAGACAUUGAACGAUUCCAAUUAUAAAAUUUUUACAUUAAAUAUACGUUAUUUGUAAGUGGGGAUAUGAGUUCAACCCCACAAGGGGGAAUGCAAACAUUCUCAUGGCUUGAUUACUAUAGUCUAAAGUUGGAUUUCCAAUGGCAUUGUUCAUCUUUCCCCUGAUUUUGAAAAUUCACGGUUUUGGCACUGAACUCUUUCUUUGGGUGGUUCUGCGCCAAAAAGAAUGGGUUUCGGCUCUGCGUCUGGGCCCGAAGUGGGCUGCCCUGUGUGUUGGGCUGGGUUGCACGGAAAGAGUCGAAAUGACUCUUUUUCCCGCUUCAAUCCAAAUCCAACGGACAGGAUCUGGGGGCACUUUUUAUUUGGUAAAAUAUAUUUUCAUUUCACACUUUAAUAAAGUUACAGUUUAGGUAUACAUAUACAACAAACUAACAUAGUAUCUUAACCACUAAGCUAACAGCUAAGAAGAUACAUUUACAAUAUUGCCCUUUAUAUCCCCCCGCAAACUGAACUUAGGUUGUCGAAGUUGAAGUUUGUCAUGAAGGAAGAGGAAACGAAGCUUGGACAGAGACUUGGUGCAGAUAUCGGCUACUUGGUCUUGAGUGCAGACAAAAUGGACAGAGAUCUGCUUGGCAAAGACCUUUUCCCUAAUGUAAUGAUAGUCGAUUUCUACAUGCUUUGUCCGAGCAUGAAAGACAGGAUUUUUUGCUCGAGAUAUAGCAGAAAUAUUGUCACACCAAAGAUGAGGGGUGGUAGGUAAGCAGUAGCCAAUAUCCGAUAGUAAUUGACAGAGCCAGGUGAUUUCAGAUGCAGUAUUAGCAAGAGAGCGGUACUCUGCUUCGGUGGAAGAGCGAGCAACAGUCGGUUGCUUCUUAGCACUCCAGCUAAUCAAAGAGUUACCAAAAUAGACACAGUAACCUCCAGUGGACCGGCGGUCAAGAGCACAGCCAGCCCAAUCAGCGUCCGAGAAGGCAGUGAGAGUAGGAGGAGUGGAACACUUGGAGAACCAGAUACCAAUAUCAAGAGAUCCCUUGAGGUAUCUUAGAAUACGCUUUACAGCUUGAAGAUGUGAAAGUUUGGGAGUGUGCAUAUAUUGGCAUACAAGAUUAACUGCAAAACUGAGAUCAGGACGAGUCCAGGUGAGAUAUUGUAGAGCACCAACCAGGGAACGAUACUCAGAAGCAUUGUCACAUAAGGGAGAAUCAUGAUCAAGUUUGGAGGUGCUGAGAGGAGUACUGCAAGGUUUGGCACCAGUCAUGUUGGCCUUGGAUAACAAAUCCAAUAUGUAUUUAGUCUGAGAUAGAAAGAUACCAGCAGAAGAUCUUUUGACUUCAAGACCAAGAAAGUAGUGCAGCGGACCCAAAUCCUUGAUGGGAAACAGGGAACUCAGUUGCUGAAUAACUUGGUUACAGGCAUCAGAGUUUGGACCAGUAACUAAAAUGUCGUCGACAUAAACCAGAAUGAAAAUCAUAGCUGAACCCUUUUUGAUAAAUAAGGAAUGGUCGCUGGGAGAGCCAACAAAACCGAGAGAAGUGAGAGCACCAUGAAGCUUGUCAUACCAAGCCCGCGGAGCUUGUUUUAAACCAUACAACGAACGAUGCAAGUGACAGACAUGAGAUGGGUGAGCUGAAUCUUCAAAUCCAGGAGGUUGCUGCAUAAAAACUGAUUCAUUGAGUGUCCUAUGUAAGAAAGCAUUGCUGACAUCUAGUUGAUUCAAGAACCAAUCGAACUGGACCGCAAGAGUGAGGAUGAGGCGAAUGGUGACUGGCUUGGCUACCAGACUGAAGGUUUCGGUAUAAUCUAAACCUUCCUGCUGAUUGAAGCCCUUGGCAACGAGCCGAGCUUUGUACCGGUCUAUAGUACCAUCGGGCUUACGUUUGAUGCGGAAGACCCAUUUACAGCCAACAAUAUUCUGUGAGGGAGACGGGGGAACAAGAGACCAAGUUCCAGUUUUGAUGAGAGCAGUAACCUCUUCUUGCAUAGCUUGGGACCAAUGAGGAUAUUUGGAAGCUUGGAGAUAGGUUUUAGGGAUGUAAUCCACUGAGAGAUGAGAGGGAAAAGGGUGCUUAGUAGCAGUGAGAGCUUUGGGUUUGAAAACACCAGAUUUGGACCGGGUUUGCAUCGGAUGGGUGUUAGAAGGUUGAAGAGAAGUGGAAGGAACGAAAUCUGGAAUAGGCAGUACAUGACUGAAGGGAAUAGGUGUGGAAGGAUUAUGGGAGAAGGGGGAUGGGGAAAUGGAAGGGGAACGAGGGAAAGAGGGGGGAAUACUAGAGGAAGAAGAAAGAGGAAAAGUAAAAGUAAGGGUUGAUGGAAGAGAUGAGGUAGACCUAGGAGGCAGGGAUGAAGGUGGUAUGUUGGAGAUAUGAUGGAAUGGAAAACUGGAUUCAUUGAAGAUGACAUGUCGGGAAAUAUAUACUCGGUGAGUUGCAGGGUCAAGACAUCUAUAGCCAUUGUGAUUUAAACUGUAUCCAAGAAAGACACAGGCUCUGCUUUUAGGAUCCAGCUUCAAGGAAGUAUAAGGCUUAAGCCAGGGGAAGCAAGCACAACCAAAAACCUUGAGAAGGUCAUAAUUCGGAGCUCGAUGAUAUAGAGAUUCCCAAGGAGACUGUCUGGAUGCAGUAGGCAAUCGGUUGAUAAGAUAGAUGGCAGUGUUGAAAGCCUCCACCCAAUAGAUGUGGGGUACUUUGGAAGCUGUCAAAAGAGUGCGAGCAGUUUCAACCAAGUGACGAUGCUUGCGCUCGGCACACCCAUUUUGUUCGGGUGUGUGGGGGCAGGUAAGUUGAUGAUGAAUGCCAUGAGUAGCCAAAAAUUGAGAGAAACUAGUGCUCAAGUACUCUCCUCCGGAAUCAGAUCUCCAAAGUAAUAAUUUUUGUACACAGAGAAUUUUCAACCAGAGAUUUGUAUUCCAUAAAAGUGGACAGUACAUCAGAUUUGCAUUUCAAAGGAUAAAACCAGGAGUACCUAGUAAAGUCAUCCACAAAAAUGAUGUAAUACCGAAAACCUUGAGAAGAAGCUUGAAGAGAGGGUCCCCAAACAUCCAUGUGGACAAGUUCUAGAGGUUUGCGAGUUGUACAAAAAGUGGAUACAAAAGGAAGCUUGGAGCUUUUAGCCAAUGCACAAUAUGAGCAGAAUGACUUAGUUACAUGAGCUAAAACAGGAAUACAAGAUUGAGAAGCAAGUUUAUGAAGAAUCUUGACAGAUGGGUGACCCAAUCUUUGAUGCCAAACAUCCGUAGAAGCUUUAGCAGUGGUGGUGAGAGCCUUAUGAUUGCCAGUUGCAGAUUAGGAAAAAUGGAAAGGAUAGAACCCUUGCUGAACAGGUCCUUUAAAACACAUCCUCCCCGAAGAAAGAUCAUUCACAGUGAAGUGAGAGGGAUAAAGAUGCAAUGAACAGUGAUUAUCAAGUAAAAAUUGAUUUGCAGAGAGAAGGUUAUGUUUCAAAGCAGGCACAUAAAGAACUUUAUUGAGAUUGAAAGCACUAGUAGAAGUAUGCAAAGUAGUAGAACCAGAAUGAGUGAUAGGCAAACCUUUGCCUUCACCAAUAUACACUUGUUCUGGACCUGUGUAUGCUUCAGGAUUUUGCAGAGUGGAAUAGGAGUUGGUCAUGUGGGAUGUUGCUCCAGAAUCGACAAUCCAAGUAGGAUUGGAUGAAGAAGCAGUAGCAACCAUCGCUGCAGGAGAGGAUUUUCCACCAUAAGCCAGAUUGAGGCGAUGAGGACAAUCACAUGCUUCAUGAUCAAGUUGAUGACAAAUCUGACAGGGAUGUUUCUUGGUGUAGGAAGAAAAAUUGUUGCGACCUCCACGAUUAGAACGUGAAUUAUUACCACGAUUAGGAAAAGAUCUCGGAUUGUUAGAGGAUCGGUAAUUGCCACGAUUCAAAGGACCGCGAUUAUGAGAGCGAUCCACUCCACGACUUGGAUGACUGAAGUUAGAAGGAGAAUGAGCCACAAAAGCCUGAGAGUUAAGACUGGAUACAGGAAGAGGAAGAAUGCCAGCAGAGGUGUGAAGAGCCUGAAAAGAGGACAUCUCAGAGAUACUUUUCUUGCGAGUGGCUAAUUGAAUCUCCUUGCUAAGAAGCAAGCCAUGUAAUUCAUCAAUUGUUGUAGAUCCGAGACGAAAUUGAAUAGCAUCAACAAACGAAUCAUACUCAGGGGGAAGACCGUGGAGAGUGACAGAGAUCAGAUCGGAAUCUUCAAUCGGAGAGCCGGCACUGGCAAGAGCAUCAGCAAUGACCUCAAUUUGCUGGAGAUACUGAGCAGCAGAUGAAAUUCCUUUGGAAAGAUUACGAAGUCGAGAGCGUAGCUCAUGAAUAUGAGACUGAGAGGCCGUGGCAAGGCGAGAUUCCAAUUUCGCCCAAAGAUCGCGAGCCGAAUUCACACCAACAGUGUAGGGAAUGAGGGAAUCCGAGAGCGUGGAGUUGAGCCAGAUGAGAAUAUUCUGGUCAUUUUCAUACCAAGAAAUAAGCAGGAUUAAGAAUGCGAUUUCCUGAGGAAUCAAGAAGAAAUUGAACCGGCGCCGCCAUAGAUCCAUCAAUGUGACCAGUCAGAUUGUAUCGGCGAAAAAUUGGAGCAAAGAGAGCGCUCCAAGUCAAGUAAUUGGUGGUGGUGAGCUUGAUUGGCACCAUGGAUCCAAUAUUUUGGAUUGUGAUGGAGGUAGAAUUUGAAGAAUUAGGGUUCGAAGAUCCAGUCGGAAGGGGGUGAAUUGGAGAGGCCGAUUCCGAUGAAGGAGAUGCCAUUGGCAAAUAGAUGAGGAAGAGAGCACGAACAAAGAUCUUCAACCACGAUCUUCAACCACGAGCGAAGAAUCGAGCAAGAACGCAGAAAGAAGAAGCAGGAGAAAGGAGGAUCGAAGAACGAGAGUCGUUAGACAGAGAAGGCGAUUGAUACCAUAUUUGGUAAAAUAUAUUUUCAUUUCACACUUUAAUAAAGUUACAGUUUAGGUGUAUAUAUACAACAAACUAACAUAGUAUCUUAACCACUAAGCUAACAGCUAAGAAGAUACAUUUACAAUAUUGCCCUUUAUACUUUUGUCACUGCGUUUAAAGGGGUGGUUGCUGUCGAUGUCGUUGAGGCAUGGUUUGCCGAGGGGUUGAUGGGUUGCAGGUAGAGAUAGGGUUGACCAUAGGGGUUGCAGGUGGGAUGGGGUAGCAUACUUAGUCUGUGUUAUUUCAUUUCAACCAUCGACUAAAAUACACCAUUUUGGCAUCUAAGAUGAGAUCACACUCACAAUCACUACUAGAAUCUUUUCAAUUAUAGGGAAAUAUGCGUGAAGUGACAAACUUAUAAUAAAAAAAUAGAACUGGAGUGACACUAAAUAGAAGAUAGGUGAACCAACCACUACUUUCUUUCCAUUUAAAUAAAAGUCAAUUGAUUACGUUUGUGUCUUUGUGCUGUUUUUUUUUUUUUUUUUUUUUUUUUUUUUUUUUUUUUUUUUUUUUUUUUUUUUAAGAAAUGAUAGUUGAUUCAUAUUCAUAAAAGGUCAAUACAGAGUAAAGCCAAUCAUGGUUUAGGAAAGUCCUCAAAGAGUAAGUCAAGGAUUAAAUCAGGUGGGGAUUCAACCCAAUUACAAACAUGAUUAGAUGAUAAACCAAAACAUGCUUGUCUAUGGGCCACUCCGUUGGCUUGACAACGUACAUAGGUAAAAUAGGCCUCAAUGAUUGACGAGAGCAUUGCUUUGACAUCCUCAAUGACCAAGAGUGGAAACAUUAGUAGAGGGAUCCCGCAACAAGUCUACAAUCUGAAGCGAGUCCGAUUCAAAUUGGCAUCUUUGAAAAACCCUAUUGGAUGCCCAAGUCAAAGCCAAAUGUGCAAUCAGAACUUUUGCCUCAAGGGGAGAGAAGACGUUAGUGACCUGCCAGCCAUAAGGUUAUCUAUGAAAACCCCUUCAAAGAAGCAGUUUGAUAUUUCGGCUAACACAAACCUCGCUCUUGUUAAGGUUGAUUUUCUGACUGGAGGCGAGUUCAUAUGCAGUGAAGGCAUUUGACAGAAUGAGACAUUCAGGUUCCUUGGCCCAGCAGAAAAAAAGGUUGUCGUCAACUAACAACAAAUGACUGAUAGGUGGGGCCCUGAUAGGAGCAUUUUUAUGCGACUUAAUUGGCUUGUUCUCAUGCAUUUAUGUUGUUUUUCCUUAGUUAGUUUAGUGUUUAAAGUCAUUUUCGUGCAAUUUCAGGUUUUAGUGUCAAAGUAUGCAAAAAGGAGCAUUUUGGAGCUUUUAGGAGCAAAAUUGGGCUUGGAAUGAAGUACAUAUGCAUGGAGCAAGGAGUUUGGACGAAUUUGAAGUCAAAACAUCAAAUAAACAUGCUAAAAAUCUGGUGCAAUAAAUACAAGUUGAAAGAAAGGAUAGGUUUCUAGAUGGAUUGACCAAAAGUCCACUCAAAACCAUGUUCACACCUAAAAUCCACAUCCUUGCCGUGAGUUUUUGGUGUUUUCACACUAGAAAAUUGAGUGAAUGAUUCAAGACCUAACCCACCAUUAUUCUACACAUCCUUGCCGUGAGUUUUGGUUGUUUUCACACUAGGAAAUUGAAUUAAACAAGUCCAUCCUCUCCCUAUAAAUACCUAUGGCAGCAACCUCAUUAAGACAUCCAGAAAUUAACCAUUCUCCAAGCCUUUCCUUGCCUCUCCUACAUAUCUAAACCCCUUCCCAUCCAUUCCUCCAAAUAACCAACCCUUCAACAUCAUUCCAACCUUGUUGUUGCGGCAAGGAGAAGGAGAAAAGUCCUUGGACGCGCUUGCUAUCCAACAUGGAUCGUUGGAACGUUUAGGUGCUUUCUUCCCUUUGUUUUUCAAUGGUUAAAUUUCUUUAUCUUUGUUUUGUAAUAAUGAGGAACUAAACCCCCCUUGGCUAGGGGGAUUCAAAACCAUGUUUAUGCUUGCUAUAUGAUUUGAUUACUUCCAAUUGCGUUUCUUGAAUUGUGAAUUCAAUUUACUUAUCCGUUCGUAUAAAAACUAAUUUGUGUAUGUUGGUUGAGAGUGCACGCUUAAUUUUCAUGCAUGAAUUUUGACGCUAGUAUAUAAGGGAGUUUCACCUAAUCGUUAUGAACUUAUAUUCACAAGUAGUGAAGGUUGCUAGUCACAAUCACGUUAAGUAAAUUCUUGGCAUAAGUUUCAUGCAAAUCAUAGUAACGAGUGCCUCGUCAAUGCUUAUGUUUUUCAUAGAACUUAAUGAUUCUUGCUUGUAUCUCUAUUAUGCAAUUCAUGUAGGGAACUUGUAGGGAAUGUUUUGGGUUGUCGUAUGCAAUCAUCCAAUCUAAUAACUUGUUGAAAAACUGAGAGUUAAUUAGUGCAAUUCACGGUUAAUUUGGGGCGUUGAGUAUUCAUAACUUAUCGAAGAGCAAUUGGAAAUCAUUUUGUAUGCAAGCAAGACAUGUGUGGAGAAGAACCCCUUAGCUAGCCUUCCAUUAUCCAUUCAACCCAAAUUUGUUUAAAAUCUAUUUAAGUUUUUAGUUUAUUCGUUUUUUACUUUCAACUUCACCAAACUCAAAUCCCCCUUUUACUUUCUUGUUUUAAAAUCUUUUGUUUACAUUUUUAACUUUGUUUCUUUUUGUUUUUGAGUCAGUUUAGAGGUUUUAGCAAGCCCUCCUAAUCCCCGGUUUAGAACGAUACCCUACUUACAUCUAUACUACAAUUGUCAAAAAGAGGGUUUAAUUUGUGUGUCAAGUAAAAUUGUCGCAUCAGGCCCUAGAGCACAAAGAAAUUUCGCGAAUCCUUCCCCUCCAAAUUGUUCACCAAAGCCAACAAGCCUUCCGUACACAAAAUGAAGAGAUAUGGAGAGAGGGGGGUCGCCUUAACGGAGGCCUUGAGACAGAUGGAGAUAGCCCCGAGGGCAUCCAUUAAUGAUGAAAGAGUAUGAGACGGAGGAUACACACGUCAUCAUCAAGUCAAUCUGCCAAUUAGAGAACCCCAAGUUUGGCAAGGAUACGUACUCCCACCCAAUACAAUCAUAUGUUUUAUUGAUAUCUAGCUUAAAAGACAGUAACCCAUUAUUGCCCCGCUGAUGCUUAAACAAAUAGUUAGAUAGCUCCGAGGCGAGAAUGGUAUUGUCAGAAAUGUUCUAUCCCAGCACGAAAACACUCUGAGUAGGGGAGAUGAUAUGGAUUAGUAUGGAUUUAAGCUGGUUUCCUAAUGAUUUGGAAGCAAUUUUGAAAAGGACGUUGCAUAGGCUGAUUGGUCGCAAUUGAGACAUAUCAUUAGGGUUCUUUUCUUUUGGGAUUAAUGAAACUCAGGUGAAAUUGACCAGCUUAAGUAAAUUGCCAGUGGAGAAGAAGGAAAGUAUAGUGGAAGUGGCAUCCUUGCCCAUAAUAUGCCAAAAGUGUUGGUGAAAGAAAAGGGUUUUUGUCUGGGGCCCAAAGUUUGAGGGCGCCAUUUGGAAUAAGGCCGCCUUAAUUUCCUCCGCAUUGAACACCAUCCAAGGCCCUAUUCAUAUUCGCAGAGACUUUAGGUUUAACUGGGUCAAGGGUUAAAUCUCUAUUACCUGAGCUUGUAGAAGAGAAUAGGUCACCAAAGUACUUGAGAACCAUGUUUUCGUUGGUCGGGCCCUCAUUUACCCAAUUUCCAGCCUUAUCUGUCAGGCCUUUGAUUAUAUUUUUAACCCUCCUAUUGUUUGCCCUCCUGUGGAAGAAGUUGGUGUUUCUAUCCCUAUUCAUGAAGCCAUAAAACACGAGAUUUUUGCCUCCAAAAGGAUUCCUCUAGGCCAAUCAGAAUAUCAAGUUGUCACAUGAGAAUGGCUUUUUCCUUGAUGACCAUAUCAUCAAGCGAUCAUGAGAGUAAGCUGCCCAAUUUGGCACGAACCUUAGUCAGUUCAUAUUGACGACCCCUAAAAACGAAUUGACACUAUUUUGAAAGGGCCACCCUAGUAACCUUUAUCUUUUGCACUACCUGGAACAUAGGAACACCAGCGAAGGAUUGAGCCCAGGCAGCACGAAUGACGUCCUUGCACCCAUAGUGUUUUGCCCAAAAUUCCUUUUCUCCAUGUUUGCCUCUUCACGGGAAACCCACAGACGUCUAGGAUAAGGAAAACAUGGUUAGAUUUGCUUGGGUAAAGGUGGGUAACUUUGGCAGAAUUAAAGAGAUCCUGGGCAGAAGCAAGAAACCGAUCCAAGUGUUCUUUAAUUCCACAAGCUCUGGUAGUGAUCCAAGUGUAAGGAUGGCUUGUGAACCCAAGAUCAUGCAAGUUGCAAUGUUAACUGCUUCCCAAAAAUUAGGGAUUUGAUUGAUGGGACGGGCAUGUCCAUCUUCCUUUUCAGUGGGUUGAAGUAGUUCGUUAAAGUCUCAUCCAAUAGCCCAAGGUAACAAAUUGACCAAAGCCAACGAUUUGAGGAGGUCUCAUGACAGGGGGCAAUCUUCCAUCGCCGAGUGGCCAUAGAAGCCAAUGAAUCUCCAAUGAAAAUCAUCGCCAAUUGCACCAAUUUUCGAAUCAAUGAAGUGAUCAGAAAAGCCCAGAACUCGCAUAUUGAUUUCAUUAUUCCACAAAAGCACAGGCCCCUAGAUUGCCCCCGCGAGGGUACACCAAAAAACCUGUCGAAUCCCAAUUUUAAUCUCAGAGAAUAGAGGGCCACAAUGUUAACCUUGGUUUCACACAAGAAUACCAAGGUGAGAUCUUGUUGCCGGAUUAAAUCUUGUAGUGCCUGAACUUUCCAGAGGUUCCCAAGCCCUCGACAGUUCUAGACUAAUGUUAUCAUGGCUGGAGGCGGGGAUGAAACCCGUCAGCCUCCACCGAUAGAACAUUAUAUGUCGCCAUUUUCCUUUCAAGUAAUCCAUUCUUCUCAGCCUCCACCAACUCUUUGGAUAGACUUAUAGCCACAUCGUAAAGGUUAAAUUCAUACCUGGGUUCAACAUCAGACAAAUAUUCCAAGCCAUUGAGAGGUUUUGGUGCCACAACCACCGCCCCAACCACCCCUUAUGGAGGUCCACGAGCAUUGCAGUUGGCCUUGGUCGGAGUGUCAUCACUUUAUGUGGUUUGGAUUACCCUUGCCCUUGUCGCAGGUGGAGUAUAUAGAAUGUGGCUUUCAUUCACUACGUCGGAUUGAUUGAUGAGCUGGGAUGCCAUUUAUUGGCAGAAGCAUCGAAAUCCCUGAGAUUCGUUUGGGGUGGGAAGUAGUCCAGUAACUUGAAGUUUGUUGGGUUCACACUAACUUCGUUCGAGGCCUGGAAAAGGCCUGUUGAAUUUUGGAAGGCCUAAGAAGGUAGGCGGUUAUGAUCAAGCUAGUAUUUUUUCAAGCGAAGGGACAUUGACAACGAUAGUAAGGGUCUCAUUGGAGAAUUGGGUCCCAAAGCUGUCUGGAUGCUACAUAUGGCCCAAUUCAGAAGUUAAGCGUGAUCGAGCAGUGGAGGAUUGCCCAGGAAGGAUUGGUGUAGGAUUGACCCUUGAUUCUGUGUUUGUGGGAAACCACGAUGUCAAAAAAAGUAGAGGACACAGAGCCUGCAGAUGGUACCGCAGGGGGUUUGUCCCCUGCAAUUCCAGAACCGUCGGUAAUUUCUUUAUCCUUUCUCAUCACCAGAAAAUGUGUUUGGACUAAAACUUGAUUUUUUGGCCCAAGGAUGGAGUCGGCCCAAAAGGAGGCCUAGAGGAAUAGAAGAUCAAGGCCCGGCCGAAACUUGGGAAAGCAGGAAAGGGCCUUUUCUGACUUGAUACAAUUCAUAAGGGCCACUUGCCUACCUACCCAAGGACCAAGUGGUGUAGACUAAUCAGACUGCACAGCCCAUAAAGUACUUUAUGGUGGCAUUACAUGUAAUAAAGCUGAUGAGUCAUCACCCUCAAGACCGCAUUCGGGCAAAGCUGUCGCUACAGGAGCCAAACCGAGUCGUCUAUAAAAGGAGGAAGAGAAGACAGGAAUAGAGACACUCAAUCAAACAAACAAAAGCACAAACUCUGCUCAAAAAGCCAGAUUUGCCUUUCAAAACGAAGCUGUAAUCAGCCCAAGCCUUCAUCCCCCGCGGGAUAAUCUUUUCUCCCAACCUCUGUAAUAGCUCUGCUACCUUGUUCGAACUUGUUGUAGUAUCGAUUCACCUUUUGUAUUCUCCUUUCCCCUCUCCCCCUCUAAGCUUUCAGACCUUUGACAGAACUACAAAAGGGACCUGCAAGACGAUCAGCCUUAAUUGAUAAGGUUUAAUCUUGCCCGACCUGCUUUGCUCUGUCUUUGUCUUCUCUUUCUUUAAAGUCUAGCAAUAUGUUGUAUAUUUCCAGUUAUAUGCAAGUUGUUUCUAGCAAAAUCACAAUGACAAAGCUUUCUCAGUACUUGGAUCCGAUUUGAAUAUAUCUUCAGUGUUUAAAUCAGAUCCAAGUCCUAAGCCCUCAGGCAUGUAAAUCUGAUUAGUUUAAAAGUCCUUGGCCUCAAGGCAUAAAAAAGAACUUUAUGUGGACUUAACCCAUCCACGACAAUCCUUGAUAAACGAGAAAUCCGAAGUUACUUGGGGCGCAAGUAAUCGACCUACCUCUUGGUUUUAUUUCUAUUAUAUCAUGAUUAUCAUAGAACGCUUAAGUAUGGAAUGGAUUCUGAUAGGAAGCCUCAAUGCCUACACCUAAGGCCCCACAAAGGCACUUAUUUGGAUUCAUUCUAUUCUGCGGUCUAGAUGGUUUGAGUAUAAGAACGGACUUUAAUGGGAAGCCUUAAGGCCUACACCUAAGGCCCCACAAAGCCACCUAUUUGGGUACGCUCUACCUCUCAGACUCGGAUAAUCAGAAAUAUAAUAGUUAUAAGACUCCGACAACCAUAAAGACCAAAUAUAUAUGCUCAAGUACUGGUUUAGUUUGACAGGAAGCCUCAAGGCCUACACCUAAGGCCCCACAAAGGCACCUGUUAUAUCUAACACGGUUUCUCAGGCAUAUGCAUAUUCAUAACUAAAACUUGACAUCCAUUCGACAUCUGCCAUGCUGAAGAUGGCAGUGGCACGCCUGAGCACUAAAAUGUUAACCUUGAUUGUGAGCCUUAAGGCCUACACCUAAGGCCCCACAAAGGCACCUCUCAAAGUUAACGAUGUCCUUCUCUUUUAGCCUUGCCCGAAGAGUCUUGCCCGACGAGACUUGCCCGACAAAGCCCGACAGCAGCCCUCAACCGGCGCCGAACCUCCAGGGGAGCUGUGUGCUCGUCGGCCAGGAAACAUCCCCGACGGGAAUUCCUACCACGAACAAAAUGAUUCAACAGAAUAUGCAUCUCGCCAUCUGACAGCCAUAAAAGUCGCCACUUCCAGUUUUACAGGUGUCGAAGUCCACGUGUAGUCGCAGGAAUCCACAUCUUCCACCUCUAACACCGACCCAAUUUUUUUCCCCCAAGGAUUGAGCAUUGGCCUUAGUGCGAAAAUUCCUCAGGAUGUCGUGGGCUUGGAUCUAGAAGAUAGCACGGUCAAGUUUGAUGUCAUCAAUCGAGUGGUAUAGGGGCCAAAGUUUAACCGAGAAAGUAAUCCUUCACAAACCAUAGGUUUCCUUCCAUAAGCUUUCUGGCUACCACCUCAUCCCCGACAGCAAUGAUAUAUUUGUUAUCCUUAGCUUUUGAGGACACGGACCACCCCCAUUUUGUUCCAGGCUGAUUGGAGGGUUUCCUUAACCACAUUCUGGGAGGGUUCAUGGUCGGCAAUGAGUUGUCCCACGAGAUGGAUGGAGCUGUCAAAGCGUUCCUCCAAGUCGAGGCUAUCUUCCAGAGUUAUAUUCAGAUAGUCAACAAUCUCAUCUUUAGUAGCCAUGGCCACCACAAGAAGAAGCCGUUGAAGGAGACAAGAUCCACAGGGGAUACAAAAAGGAGCUCACGCCAAUGGUGCCAGAGCUAGGGUGCCGGAGUGUCAGAGCUAAGGAGUCGUUGAACCAAGCUACUCUUGUACAUGACAAUGAGCUCUACAUAGUAAGCUAUUUAGAGUUUUGUUCCAGUUUUGAUUAUGCACAAUUUCAAUUUUAAACUUCAAAAAAUUUUGAAAUUGGUUUAGGGUUACUGAAAUUUUAAAAGCAAAAAAAAAAGACAUUCUGCAAUUAAAUGCAGAGACUGUUAGGUCUAAAAGAAUAAGAAAAUGGAGAGAGCAGCAUAACAUUACUACUACUAUACUAAGAACAACACGAAACUGGCUUUGGGUAAGAUUCCACUAUGUGUAUAAUCUCCUUCAAAAGUGAUUUUGGAAGAGAUAAUGUCAAAUUCAUAUCUGAAUAAGGAAAUAAUAUGCAUGUAUAAUGAAGUAGGGUUUGUUUCUAAUUUGGGGUAAUUGAUCGAUAUUUUGCCGAAAUUUUGUAGAAAUCUUGAUCUUGCUUCAAGGGGCCAAAUUAAUUUGUAGUUUAAACUCGAGAUUUUUUUUGGUUCAGAGAGUUUUACUUUUAUUCAUUGAAUUUUCUUUGCAUAAUUUUUUUGUUGUAAAAGUUUAAUGUUGUGUUGUUGUUCAUGAGGAAGAGGACUGAAACCCAGCUGCGUGAAGAAGGUAUGGUUUGUGACAGUUAGUUUUAAUUUUCCAAGCUUCCUAAAAGUUUUGGAGUAUCGUCUUUGGGAUGUUUGUGGAUCAAUUUUUUUUUUACACCUUGAAUUGAAUCGUAGCUUCUGAUGUUUGAAACUCUAGCACUUUUAGUUAGUUAAGGAAUAUUCAAUGUAGUUGACCGUCAAAAUUGGUUUUGUUGUCGUACUAUGAAUCUGCAUCAUUGAUUAAGUUUAUUUGUGUCUCGACCCUAUGUACAUGAUACAUUUUUUGUAGUCAUCUUUUGAUGUGGAUCAUAUAUUGUCGUUGUGAACUAUGCAAAAGAGGAGAGACUAAGGAGAGAAGCAGCAGAAUGGAUGGCAAAAUUAGGCAAGAUUGCUGAAAUACAGAGGCAAAAAGGGAGGAACUAGAAGAAUUAGUUGCGUACAAAAGCUCUUUUGAGGUUGUGCUUAAGAAACCAAAUUGUAAAUAGCCAUCAGGCCCACCGCAAUGUUGAAUAGUACAAACAAAUAUCUAAAGAUAAUGUUGAGUUUUGAUAUCGAAGUUAAACUUCUAAUGCAUUUUGUUUGCGCUGUGUGUAGAUGCAAAGGAAAAGGUGGAGGCUGACAAUUCAUCAGAUUAUAAGAUCGAGAAGAUAAGAAGAUAGUUGGGGAUACUAAUUUCAUACCAGCUGGUCGAAGUGGAGGGAAUUUGAGAUUCUAGAAGAUUCAGGAAGUUGACUAAUACAAUACCAAAUAGUAUUGUUGAUUACUAUUAAUUUUGCUUUAGAUUAGUCUCAGUUGUUGAUUAAUAUUAGUUUGGGGCUAAUUACAACCCACGUACGACUGAAGGCUUACUGAAACUAAGCAUGCUUGAUUGAAACUAUGGAUUGGAUAAUCUACCAUUUCGUUAUGGAACUUAGACCAAACUCUAUCCUUGACUAGAGAGGUGUAUGUGCCUAAUUUCUCCAACUAUGGCCAUAUGUAUAUAAAUCUAGCUUUUGUAGCAUCUCUAUCUUUUGAGCAUUCAGAACUUGAACGCUGUCAAUCUUUUGAUAACUAUGAACUUAUGCACAUAAAUCUACUUUUUUAGCAUCUCUAUCUUUUGAACAAUGCGUAAUUUAACGUGCCAAUCUUUUGAUAACUAUAGAUUUAUGUAUAUAAUUCUAGCUUCUAUAACCUGUAUCUCCUAUCUAUUUUCAAAACAUUUUAAACACCAACAACAUCGUGCGGGCUCUUUUGCUAGUUAUUUCUAUUCCAGCAUAAUUUCGUUUGUUUUUCUUCUUUAAUUGGCAAAUUUCCGUAUAGUUUUUCCCUUUGGGAACUACGUAGUGAAGGCUUCAAUUGGUUAGUUAAAAGCUCAGAUUAUUUGAAUAAAAACGUCUACAAAAAAUCUAAAUGAAAAAUGUUCAAACUAAUUUGAAUAACUUAAAGCAGCUUGUGCAGCCGGAGGUAAAUUCGAAUAAUUAACUAGCAGUUGAUUUUUGCAUGAAUAUUCACUGCUUGGCAACAGACGAAUAUUUUAUAUAACAAUAUAAUAAGUCAGUACUUCAUUAGAGAAUUACGCACCUGGGAUGGUGUUUGGAAAACAUUUAGGAUGAGGAAUGUCAGAACUAUAGCCUUUGCAGGUCAAUUUAUCGGGCAAUUCAUCGGGCCAAUUCACUCCAAGCUCAAAGCCAUACAUGAGUGCACUGUGUAUAUAUUCAUAAGAGGGCUUGUAGUACUUCAAAUGCAUCAAAGCAAUCCUCUCUGCUCUGCAACCCUCAUUCAAUUCCCCUACUUUCAUAUCGUUUGGGCCAACCUUGACAUAACUAUAAGAUUUUGGUUGAAUCAAAGAAGUGGCAGUACUAUUCAAGCAUGGAGCAGUAUCCACGUACAGAGAAGAAUUCACUGGGUUUCUACACCUCAAGUAAAAUAUUGAUGUUGAAAGUCGUAAAUUGGUGGUGGGAUUAUACGAACGAUAUGGAUCUCUUAGUGAAUAAGGGCCGGGAGGCAAAUUUCGAGGCAUGGAAGAGCAAUUGUUGUUGUCAAGGCCAGGAUCUAGAAGUCGGAGUAUUUUGUUAUUGUAGUUGAUUGUCUGUACGUAGUAUUUACCAGAAUAAGGUAUAUCACCAUAAUAAGGUAGAUCUAGUAUUGUAAUGUUGUUCUCACAGGAAAGAGUAUACAGAAUGUGGCCGCAGUGCUUUGGAUCAUGUUUUAGUCGAAAAGGGUAGCUUAUGUUGCGAAUAUUGCCGCAGGAGGAGGUACAGUUUGUACUAUCAUCCUUAGCGUUACAAGUUUCACUGCAAAAGCAAAGAAGAAAGGCUAAAAUAAAGGUCAAGGACCUGCUUCCACUAAUUUCCAUUGGAGAGAGAGGGGGAGAGAGAGAGAGAGGUGUACUGGUAAACACCAAGUAGUUAAAUAAUAUAGGAGAGAGAACCUUCUGGGAAGUUGCAGUAAGCACUUCAAAUAUCCAAGAGAAAAGUCAGUCAAUGGCAGAGACCGACUUGUGUAAUAAUAAUGAUCUCUCUCUAUCUCUCUGUGAGGUGUACUAGUAAACACCAAGUUGUUAUAUAAUAUAGGAGAGAGAGGUGUACAAGUAAACACGAAGGGGAGGGGUUAAAGCACCUUCUGGGAAGGUGCAGUAAGCACUUCAAAUAUCCAAAAGAAAAGUCAGUCAAUGGCAAAGACCGACUUGUGUAAUAAUAAUGAUCUCUCUCUCUCUCUCUUUCUUUAAUGGAGAACAGAGUAUAAUUAGUACAUAUUAUAUCUCUUCUUAAUUACACAAAAGAAAAUUGGGGUUUUUGAACUUAAUCUUUGAAGAAGAUUAAAGUUUAAUAAAAAUCUGAUGUUAAAUUGGAUAUUGAUUUUGAUCCUUUAAUAUUUACUUAAUUCAAAUUCAUAUUAUAUUUUUGUUUUAAUAUUUAAUAGAUGUCUUAUUUUAUUUGAUGAGAUCUUAAAUUCGAUUCUCGCUAAAGGUAAAUUUGAACCAUAUUAUUGUAAGUUUAUUGCCCAUCCCUUCCCCUUAGUGUAGAUAAUAUCAAUUGUUCAAAAAAAAAACAGAGAUGUCUUUUUUUUUUUUUGGAGAAAUUAGGUUCUCAUCCUUCAUUUUGCUACUCCAUUGAUUAAAUUCAUAUUCAUUUUCAAUUUUUGAUCAAGGUCCUUGGGUAUUAAUAACAUCAUUAAUUAUUUCAAUAAUAAAAUAUUUUUUUAUUUCUAAAUAUAUUCAUUUAAUGUUAAAAAUGUUACAAUUAGUAUAUUUAUAUUUAUGACUAAAUUUUUUAUUAUAUAUUUUUAGUUUUAAUUUGUACCCAUUUUUAAGUUGUAAUUCUUUUUUAAUUUGUACCAAUUUUCUUUUCAGUUUUAAUUUGUACCCAUAUAUUAAUUUCUUUUUGUGCCCAUAUUUUUAAGUUUAUUUGUAUUUGUACCCAAAUAUUUUUUUUAUUUGUACUUUUUAUUUUGCUAAAUGUACCCAUGCUAAUUAUAUGUACCCAUUCAUGUAAUUUAAUCUUAAAAUGUACUCAUUCUUAAGUAUACCAAUUUGUUAUAUGUAAAAUGUACCAUUUUUUUUAUAUAAAAUCUAUUCAAUUUUUUUUCUAAUCCAUUUUUAAACUUAUAUGGGUACAUUCUUUUUUUUUUAUGAUUUUAAAAUGUAUCCAUGUCAAGUUUAAUCGAAGAAAUUUACUAAUGUUAUUAAGCCUAAUAUAUAUAUAUAUAUUGUGAUUUUGAAAAAUGUACCCUUGUUUUGAUACAAUAAUUUUUUUGGUUAAUUUUGAUGAAUGUACCCAUGUUUAUAUAUAUACACACACAAUAGUAUAUUUAUAUUUUAAUAUUUUUAAUCCCACAAAUUAUUGUUUUUUAUUUAAAAUCUCAAUUCUAUAAACAACUAAAAUUUCUAAUUUUUAAUUUAAAAAAUAUAGUAACGUACAUAGAAAUAAAUUAUUACAUUAAUUUCAGAGACCUCGAUCAAAAAUUAAAAACCAACAAGGUUUCAAUCAAAGAAUAUUCAUAGCUAAGGACCGCAUCCAAAGUCUCCCUUUUUUUUUUAAAUAAGGUACGAUAUUCAUUAAAUAGAAUGGAGCGUACAAAUAGAAGGAUAGCAGUGUAUACAUGGGUCUGGAUAAAAAUCUCAUCGGGACUUUCAACUCGAUCUAAAGAAAAAAGAGUGUUUCGUACCUAACAAUCAACUAAGAGUUUUCUCUCUUCACGUAGCAAAUCAACAGUACAAUUAAAUAGACAUAUCUUCAAAAAGUGCAUCCAUGAUUAAACCUAGAGGUUCCCCAUGCCAUCUUAACUCUUGGCUCGAAUUAAUCCCCAUGUCAUUACAUUAAAUUUUAAAUUUAUUAUUAUACAUUUUAAUUCAUUAAUUUUAUUUGCUUCCUUUAACUAUUGUAUGUCACAUCCCGGCCCGAGACGAACCACAUCCCGGGUCCGUUCGACCACCGUAGCACGAUAUUGUACUAUUCCCUCACGGUUUUGUUUUUUGAAAACUCACGAGCAACUUCCCAGUUGGUCACCCAUCCUGGGAGUGCUCUGGCCUCCUUCUCGCUUAACUUCGGAGUUCCUACAGAACCCGAAGCCAAUGAACUCCCCAAAGGCCUCGUGCUAGGUAGGGAUGAGAAUAUACAUUUAAAGAUCACUCCCCUGGGUGAUGUGAGAUGUUACAAUCCACCCCCCCUUAGGGGCCCGACGUCCUCGUCGGCACACUUCCGGCCAGGGAUUGGCUCUGAUACCAUUCUGUCACAUCCCAGCCCGGGGCGGACCACAUCCCAGGUCCAUUCCACCACCGUAGCACGAUAUUGUCCGCUUUGGGUUUACCAUUCCCUCACGGUUUUGUUUUUUGGAACUCACGAGCAACUUCCCAGUGGGUCACCCAUCAUGGGAGUGCUCUGGCCUCUUUCUUGCUUAACUUCGGAGUUCCUACGGAACCCGAAGCCAAUGAGCUCCCAAAAAGCCUUGUGCUAGGUAGGGAUGAGAAUAUACAUUUAAGGAUCACUCGCCUGGGCGAUGUGGGAUGUUACAUUGUACCUAAACAUCUGUAUCAUAAUAUAUUUUAUUAAACUAGCGUACCGAAAUGCCUGUACCUAAAUAUAUUGUAAUGAAUCAGUGGCACAUAAGAAAAUAUGCAAAAACAUAAGUGUACUAAAAAUUCUGUACCUAAAUAUAUGAUCCUAACUAGUGUACCGAAAUGUUGGUAUCUAAAUAUAUUAUACUAAACUAGUGUGCCGAAAUGUUCGUACCUAAACAUAUUAUAUUAACCUAGUGUACUGAAACAUUUGUACCUAAAUAUAUUGUAAUGAAUUAGUGGCACAUAAAAAAAUAUGCAAAAAUUGUACAGAAAAAUCUCAACAGAAAUAUUUUUUACAUAAGAUACUUAACAUAAUGAGAAUUAAAAUGUCAUGCCCCGAUCCCGACAUACAUCCAGGAUCGACACGUGACGUUACUAAAUACCCAUAUCUCAACAUACCCCGUCUCUAGAAUAUGGCAAAUCACAACUCGAGAAUCGAAUCGCAUAGUCAUUUUUCUGUAUACUUUAUGGCUGCAUCUAACCUCCCCGAUAGACUGCCUACGUAUCCUUAUUAGGGAUCAAAUCAUUCGUAGUUUGUCCUUUCGCUACACUUGAACAUUCAUCAUAUAAACCACUGUAUCUCAAUAUAAUACCACAAUUCAAUUAUGUAGCACCUCAAGGAGCAUUUAACAAGGCAUAAUAUUAAUCUCUAUUCAUAUCAUCACUUAUCCACACAUAUGCAUUCCAACACCAUCCAAUUAUCACAUUAAUCAAUAAUGCCAAUCACCAUAUCAUCAAUAACACAUACAAUUCAUCGAACUGCAGGGCUAGAGCGACAUGAUUCAGCCAAAGCCUACAUCUCUGAAACUGUCUCAAAUGAAUCAAAUGAUGCGAUUUCGAACCACUCAACGAAAUCCAUCAACAUCGGGUUUCGGACCUCUCAACGGAACCAAGACACCAAAGGGGAUUCCGGACCAUCACUCAACGGAAUCGCAGAGUAGAAGGGAUUCCGGACCAUCACUCAGAAUCGCGAAGUAUAAGGGAUUCCGGACCAUCACUCAACGGAAUCGCGGAGUAGAAGGGAUUCCAGACCAUCACUCAACGGAAUCGUGGAGUGGAAUGUAUAACAUCAGUCGAUGAAAUAAGACAUGGACCGAGUUACCCAAGUUACAAAGACUCAACGAAAUGAGAAAUGAAAUAAUGACACGAGGGUGAAACACAUUUCAAGCAACAAACCCCAUGACAAUGGGUUAGCGGCCCACUACUAGCCCUCACAUUUCAUCACAUCCAUCCAAUCAUACAAUACAACCCAUAUUUCCAAUGCACAAGUCAAAUCAUACUUAAUGAAAAUAGAUUGAUGGCCAGAAACAAAAAUAACAGUUCAAUAGAUUUCACAUUUAAUAAACAUAGAUCUAUGGCAUAAAUAUAUAGAAUUCACAUUUCAAUAGAAAUCACCUUUAUAAGGCCAAGGCAUAAUCACAUAUGAUACUAAUAUAAAAAUCAAGGUAAUAGCUAUAUCACAUAUACACAAGUCAUUCUCUAACCAAUGUAGACUGACUAGACUUCGCUUAAUCUUCCAUAGUACUAAUUUUAGUAAUUAGGAUGUUUCAUGACAUGUUGACCAAAAGUCAACUCUCGAUCAACAAUAGGGUCCACAAACUUACGUAGUUUGAUCUGGAAGAUCCGCACCUUGGAUUUCCGAUCUGUAACUUUCCAAAGUCCACAUUAUGCUCAAAUAACUACAUACUAAAAUCUCAACAAGAUCCGACGGUUGGAUCUCCGCCAAUUUCAAAAUUCAAGUGGCGGUCGACAUUUAAUUUUACAAACUUAGAAAUCCAAAUAUGGAAGAUCCAUAUGUCAGAUUCCCAAUCUGUAAAUUUCUAUGAUCCUCAAAUAUUACGUAUUACAACAUAUCAAAGUUUGGUGACGAUCCAACGGUCGGAUAGUCGAUUCUUAUUUUCACCUAACCACGUAUCAUAAUAAAAUUAGGUUCAAUUGCUCAAUCUACGUCAUUCGAUUAUCAAAACUGAAUUUAAGACAACAAACAUAGCCUAAAAAUAACAUUGAUGGCCCACUAGCUACAUGUCGCCGCACGUGCCGCCGUGGGUGGCGGUCGACCGCCCCGACUUGCUAGAAAAUUCAACUAUUUUUAAAAAUUACCAAAAUUUAUAGAAAUGAAGAUCUCAAUGAGUAGAACAAGUUUUAUACCUGUGUCGAAGUCCAAUUUGGCCAGGAAAAGCUCCAAUUUUACUAAAACCCGCCGGAACCCUAGAAAUUGGGUAUAGUUUAAUUCAACGUCAAACUCAACUCCGCCACCUCCAAUGUUGAUUGGGGUUUGUUCCUGGAAUCAAGAGGAGUUGAAUAAGGGUGGUGGCCGUCGUCGGUGUUUGCAGAAUCAGCGGAAUUGCCGCGGUGGAGUAUGAGGACCAACGUGGUUGUUCUUCGCGAAAUCAUGCCCAAAUCAUCUCGAUUUUGGUGGAAUAGUGUAGAUGGGAGGUCACUGAGUUGAUUUAUGGUGGUGGAUGGCUGCAAUUUGCCGGAAAAAUCAAGAGAAACCGUCGAAAAAUUUGUAGGUAACUGGGUCAGGUCGAAAAUGGGGGACCGGUAAAGGGAUCCGGUGUCCCUCCCCUCUCCUCAUUUUUCCUCCUUUCCCCUUCUCCCAUUCGUCCCUUCUUCCUCUCUCCUCCCUUCCGAUUGGCUAACCCUCUUUCUUCCCUCCUGAAACUCUUCUCCUGCUCUCUCCCCUGCUGCCCUCUAGCAGCUCUAUUUAUUAUUAUUUUUUAUUAUUUUUUUUCUUUUUUUUCCUCUUGUUUUCUUCUUUCCUCCCCCAUUUCUAAUUAGUCCCUUUUCCUACCAUGUGGGAGUUUUACAAAUAAAUUAAAAUCUAUAGUUUAGUAACACAACUUCAAAUAUCCAUAACUAUACCAUUAAAACCUGGACUCGCAAACGGCUUUCGCCUAUGCGUUCGUGAUCUUGAAAUCUAUUCAACAAUAUAAAUUGUGACCUCAAAAGGUCUACGGAUUUUAACUAAUUAAUUUCCAAACUUCAAACUUCGUAACUAAAUUAAUUAAAAUCUAAAUUCAGACAAUUAAAAUAAAUUGUCCAAAAAAAUAAUAUAAAUCUCAAUAAUACAAAUACGUAGAUUAUAAAAGUGAAAUCCAAGAACAGGAUUUCACAUAAAAUUUAAUUUAUGAACACCAUAAAAUUUUAAUAAAAAAGAGAGACAUUGAAUACAUAUGAUGGCAUUAAACAGAGUCUAGGGACUAAAAUCAGUUUUUAAUCUUGUAUAAAACAUUUUUCUAAACUUCAUUUUAUUUAGGGAAAAUUAGAAUCCCCUACAGUUUUUUUUUUUUAUAUCAUUUAGAUUAAACAUCUGUGCCUUUUUAAAAUUUGAUUAAAGUGUUUUGACCAAUAACCAUCUCAAGCUAAAUUACAUGUCAUUAUUAUAUUUUUUAAAAUUAAAAUAAUUUUUUAAUUUAUCCUUUUCGCAUGAUGCACUUUGCCUUAUUUAGUGGAGAUAUUAGUAAUUAAACUAUAUUUUCUCUUAUUCCAAAUAUGUUUUUUCGAUCACAAUUUUUUUUUCUUUUUUUUUGGUUAUGCAAACAUUUAAUAUUUUUUUUUUUCAAAUGGUUUUUUUUUUUUUCAAAUAGUUGGUGAUCAACAUAAAAGCUCCGUGUAAUUUUUUCAAUUUUUUGUGAUUUUUUUUGUGCUGUUUUUUUUAAGUAUAGUUGUUGACGAAUUAUUAUUAGGUACAAUACAUUACGUAUAUAUUAUCUGCGAGUACGUUUGAAUUUACAAAAAUCAUUAAUUGGUACGUUUAUUUGUAAUUUUGGUACAUUUGAUUUGAUACAUAUUGUUAAUAUUGGUACAUUAUUUUUAUUUUGGUACGUUUUAUUUUGUACACAUUGUGUAUUGGUACAUUUAUUGACACACCCUGACCUAAAUCAAGGCAUGCUGACCGUCAAUCGAGAGUGACGUAACUAAUUUAGUACUAAAGAUAUAAAAACGUGAAUAAAUAAAAACCAACCUAGCUAGCUAACUAACUAAUUUACACUAGAUAAGAUAUAAAUGCGAGUGACAAGAUUUAAGCGUAAUUACACAUAAUUAGAGCAUAGCUAACCCAAGUGCAAUCCAGCAUGACAAAUACUAAUUAUACAAUACCAGAGAGAUGGUCCUACAUUAAUUACAGUCUGUCAAAACCGCCGCUAACUCCUCGUAAGCCACCAACAAGCACUCCUACCUAGAACCUGGUGGGGCGCAAAACAAAAAGUGUGAGUGGGCAAAAACAAAGCUUUUCCAAACCAUUUCACUUAUCAAAAGUACUAACCCCUCAUCGUAAAACCCGUAUAAUUUCCCAGAAAAUAAGAUACAUAUCUAUAUCAAACCAUAUUCGGAAUAGCAAAAUCUCCAUGUAUGCCAUGCCAAGUAUCUCAACAUAAAGAAAUAAGUAAACCAGGUGAAGAAAAUUAAUAAAAAGUAAUAGGUCAGCCGGAUCCACCUAUUGUGGCCUAUACGGCUGAACCUAUAACUCAUCAACUAUCCCUGCACACGAGUCGGAACCACCUAUAGUGGUCGGUACGACCAAACUAGGUGUAAAUAAGUACGCUCAAGUGCUACGAUCACGUGAAGACUGUGCGAAUAAUCGCGGGUCACCUACAAGUCGGAACCACCUAUUGUGGUCUGUACGACAAGACUGUGCACCAAACUUGGAUCCAAGGUGAGUGUGCGGUGCGAGAGGUGAACACCACGUGAAUGACUGUGCUCUGGCCACGAGCGGGAGCACUAACACCGGGAUGCAGGUUAAUGAGCUCUAAAUACAUCUAUGUACCACCAUCAUAAUGCAACUCACAAUCAUCAAUACAUAUACUCACCUGAAACUUACCUAAGCAUCCGCAACGUCAAAUACUAGCAUGCCACAUUACUAAUGUAUAUUCUAAAAUAUAAAGCAUUUGACAUGGCAUUAAAAACACAAAAUCAAUUAAAUCAAUUUUUAUGGGAAAAACAUAAUGCAUAUAUAUACAUAUAAUGAAAACCAAAAACCCACUUACUGAUAUGUGGUAAGGUCGUAACCCCCGAGCCUCGCCUGACUGCGCUCGUCCUCUGGAAACGUCUCACCUAUAUGUGAAACAACUAUUUUAACGUUAUUUUAAGCACAUAACCAAAACUAUGAAAUAACUUCUCAUACGUUGCUCAAUUGGGGUGUGUGAAUAUACCAUCAAGGCCUACACAACCCCACGAUCAUCCCCAUAUUUUUAGAAAAAAUUUCCGAUGUCCCACGCGCCCUCACGCGCCGGCCAAGGCACGACCAUGCGCAAGCACGUGCCUGGCACACGGACGGAACCUUUAACGCCGUUAAAGAAUAUUCCGUUAAAUAAUGGAAUAUACCGUUAAAUAUACUUGACGCCGUUAGGUAUAUUCCAUCAAACUUGAUGGAAUAUUCGCCUUCUCUUUCCUUGAUUCGCCGGAGUCCGGCGGCAGUCACUGCUGCACUCGCCGGAAACUGGAAAACUGGAAAACUGAAAAACUUCAAUAUCUCUUCCAUUUCAACACCAAAAUUCAUGAAAUUUGUACCAAAAUGAAGUUCUCAACUAGGAGAACAUGAUCUUACCACUUUUAGAGUCCCUAAACCAACGGAAAUUGGCCAGAAAAAUUUCGUGAAAACCGGCUAAGUCUGCAACUCAAAGAACUCGAGUGUCCCGACGUCCAAAACCUUCCAAAAUUCCUAUAACAACUUCGUAAAGCUGUUUUAAGACUCUCUAGUACCUUAAAACCCCGCGUAACACUCGCGACCAAGCUCGAGCAACAGGACACUUUGUUAGAGCUCACAGGUUCUCGAGUUCCCAAAGUCCUUACGUCCAACUAAGGGUAUAGCUCGACUCCUGAGCUUACAAGGAACUUGGAAAUGGCCUCCACUAUGUCGAUUUGUGCAAGAUGAAACUAGUUGGGUGUGUGUGUGUACAGACUGUACGGACGGAAAGAGGUUUCGAGAAAGAGGGUGACAGAUGCAAGUUGCACGUGUGUGUGUGUGUGUGUGUGUGUGUGUGUGUGUGUGUGUGUGUGUGUGUGUGUGUGUGUGUGUGUGUGUGUGUGUGUGUGUGUGUGUGUGUGUGUCUUGAUCCAGAUUAGGCACCCAUAUACAAUCCUAAAACUCUAAUUGGGCCACCAGUUAUAAGCUAAAAAAAAAAACCAUCCAAAACAACCCCAUAUUUCAAUUGGGUCCAAAGAAGUAGGAAAUGAAAUAAUUGGUCCAUUUUUCUUAGCCCAUAAAUACAUUCACAACCCAACGCUCAAGGGUAAAACCGUCAUUUCCACGCUUUCGAGAAUCAAAUAUAUAUUAAUUCGGGACACGUCGUCACAUUUAUAUUAUUCUCAAUCCUAUUUUCUCUCAACGCAAAAGAAAAACUUAUUUCAGUACGUUUGAUUUUGUGGGAUUUAAAAAUAUUUUAAACUAUUUUGGAAAGAAAAUAUCUUAAAUCGUAGAUAAUUAUUGCUAAAUUGUAGCAUUAUUGUGAAAAUAAAUUGAAUCUAACCAAUUUUUUUUUUUUUUUUUACAAUUAUCUCUAACGGAGGAGAGUGUAAUUAAAAAGCUAGAUUAUAGGAAAUUUGUUACAAUAUAAUAUGCAUAUAGCACCAAAAUUAUGACCAAAAAAAGUUUAAUCAAAUCACUAAAAGACAUGAAUGUUUGAUCUAAAAAAUUCAGAACUGAGACGCCUAUAUCAAAUGAUCUCUAUUUAUUUAAUGAUUAAAAUCUAGUUUUCUAUAAUAUUAACAUUGAACGUAUAAUCCUUCAAACGUAAAUUAAGGGACUUUGUUUCCGGUUCUUGUUUUGACUUUCUAUUUUUUGGGGUUACCGUAGAAGGAUGUAGCAACCCCACCCCAAGUUUUUUUCUUGAAUCUUUUGACACUCCGCCAAACUUCUCUUGGAAUUUUAAUUAGAUGAAACAAUAUGAAUCUUGAACAAAGCAAAAGCAAAACGUAAUACGUAGAGAUUGAAUCAUUGUAGUGGAAGUGGAUGCUGGGUACUCAACACUCAUAGGAAAUCAUAAGUCCAAGAAUGAAAACUCUCUUAUCGGUUUCUAUCUAAAAUUUUGGAAUUAUGUGUGUGUUGCAACGAUUGUCCAGGAUUAAUCUUUAUCUAUUAAAUUUCAAAGGAAAAUAAGCUUGGGGUGUAAAUGUUGAACGAAUGAAUUUUCGACGAGUUGGAAAGGGAUUGUGCCUUUAACACGCUAUUUUUCUUCCUCUUAUGCACUCAUGGUUAUUAAAAGACAAAUAAGUAUGACUUUACAUAAAGAAAGAGAGAGAAUAUUUUCCUUUGAAUAAAUCAACUAUUUGUUUAAGAAGAUGUGGAUGCUGAUUGAAGCGUCAUGCAAAUACGAAGAACGACCUUGGAGGGAGAUGAGACAUUCAUUAAAAGCCAAGAAAAAAGCCGCAUUUUCUAAGUGAUAGUUAUUGACACGAUACUUGAUUAGGAGAAAAGUCAGUAGUAUUUUGUUUUAGUGGGAACGAGAGUGCGAGGUCUCAAUUAGAACAUGAGAUGAAGUUUCUACAUAACCGUAUAUGACAAAGAAAGAAGUCUAUGUUUCUAACUGGUGGGGCUUUUAAUUGAUGUGAGUUUGUUGAGAAAUGAAGAUGAACAUGUAUACUGACAUUGAUGUGAGUUAGUGAACCAGAUGCACAGAACCGUUCAGACCGGUUUCAGUCUCUGUUUUCAUCUUGAUAGAACGGCUCAGAACCAAAUCAAACUGUGAAUAUAAAUAAUUUAUGAAAAACAAAAAAUUAAUAAAAAUAACACAAUUGGCAACCUGAUUCCCACUGCAGCUCUAAAAUCAUCCUCCAUGAUCGCUGUAUGUACUUUUGUAAAUCGAAUGCAUAGUUGUUUGUGGACAGAUGAGUCUGCAAAAUUUGUGAAAACAUGCUUCAGAUAUAAACUACUGAAAUGUGAUUCAUGACAACCCCACACACACACACACACACACACAUAUAUAUAUAUAUAUAUAUGUUAACAUCAAAUUUUAUAAUUAUAAUAACUGUUUGGGUUAAAACUUAAAAUUUGGGCUCAAGUGGAAGUCAGCCCAAAGGGAAGUCUGGAAGGAAGAAAACCCAAGGUCCAGCCGAAGCCCAGAAGAUGGAAGAAGCCCUUUUUCAGCUAGGUGCAGACCACUUGAGCCACUUGCUCACCUACUCAAAGAACAAGUGGUGUAGAUCAACUAGCUAAUCAGCCCAAAAGUACUUUACAAUGGCAGUACAAGUAAAAAGCUGGUGAGUCACUACCCUUCAGUCACAUUCGAGCAAGAGCAAAGCUACAGUCAAUCGAGCCAAAUUGUCUAUAAAAUAAGAAAGAGAAAUUAGAAAUGAAGACACUCAAUCAAUCAAACAAACAAUCUUACAACUUGUUUAUCUCAGUCAAGCCAAGAAACCCACAAAGUUGUGCUUUGUCCAGAGUCUACACUCUUUUCAGCUUUAAGCUCCCUGUAGAACAGACAACCUUUGUCUUUAUAAAAGCUCUGCUACCUUGUCUAAAUCUUGAUGUAGUAUCGAUUCCCUCCUAUAAACUUCUCUACCAAUCUUCCCCUUCCAGCACCCAAACACUUUGUAACCACAAAGAGAGGAAGCUGCAAGACGAUCAACCUUGCCCGACCCUCUUUGUUCUGUCUGUUAAUUCAUAGAUCUAGCAGUAUGAUGUAUAAUUCAAUAUAUAUCCAAGUUAUUUAUAGUCAGUUUGUGAUUAAAAGAUCUCUUGGUUCUCGAAUCUGGUCUGAUUAAUGGUUUUAACCAUUACAAAAGAUAAGUAAAGGUUUGAGCUCAUAGCUUGAUCAAAUCUAAGUUCCAACCUUUCAAGCAUAUAAGAUUGAUCAACCAAAAGUCCUUGGUCUCAAGGCAUAAAAAAGAACUUAAUGUGGACUUAACCCAUCCACGACAAUCUUUGAUAACGAGAAGUCCGAGUUACUUGGGGCACAAGUAAUCGACCCAUUUCUUAGUUUUACAUCUGUUAUACUAUGAUCGCUAUAGAAUGCUUGAGUAUGGAAUUAAUUCUGAUGGUGAGCCUCAAGGCCUACACCUAAGGCCCCAUAAAGGCACCUAUCAGGGUUCGUUCUGCUCUUUGGGCCCGGGUGAUUAAAGUAAAAAUAGUUGUAAUACUUCCACAACAAUGAAACACCAGCUACAUGCCAGAGUACUUGGUCGGUUUUGAUUGUAAGCCUCAAGGCCUACAUCUAAGGCCUCACAAAGGCACCUCUCAGAACUGACUUGGUCCCUCGAGCAUAAGCAAUUAACCUAAACACUUGUUUUACAUUUGUCAUGCUAAAGAUGGCAGUGGCACGCCUGAGUACUUAGUUAGUUUUGAUUGUGAGCCUCAAGGCCUACACCUAAGGCCCCACAAAGGCACCUUUCAGAAUUAACUCUGUCAUUCUCUUACAGCCCGCCAAUAACCAAAAGGCCGACAUACAAUAUCAACCGGCACCAACCUCUCGAAGAGUUGUGUGCUCGUCGGCCAGAGAGCAUCUCCAGCAGAAAUUCCUGCCCGAACAUAGUUUUGGCACUUCUGGUAGGAUCAUCUUUGAUCAAUCUUACUUGCCAAGACAUGGCAAAUAUCCCUACAAAUUUACAAAGGUCAACUGUCCCAAAAAGAACAACUAAUGAAGAUUUGCAGACUACUUUGUUGCAAAUGUUACAAAGAAUGGAGAACGCCUCCAGAGGGUUCAGAGAAGAAGCAGGCCAGCUCCAUGCUUUGACAGAAGAUUCACAAGAAAAGCCCGAUCUUGUGGGUGCUAUUCCAAACAGUUGCACCAAGGUGUUGAAGAGAAAAGCAAACCUAGCUAUGGAACCAACUAUUCUCAUAUCUUUGCCUCUACUUGAGGAGAAAGGUGGUAGGGAAGAAAAGAGAGAUAAGAUCGAGGCCAGCCAGCCGGAGGUGGAGGUAACAUUGGUAAACAAUCCACCUAGCCCAUCGCUAUUCAUACAAGAUAGUCGGGGGCAGGUCAAAGCAAAAGUGGACAAGCAUGUAGAUCCCCUUUCUGAGGUCCCAGUAAUUAUGAUAAAUUUAACAUGGGCCGAGAAGGGAAAAGGGAAGGCUACAGAAGAAAGAAUGCUGGCCGACAGAUCUACAGAAGGGGUUAUCAAAUUGCCCAAAAAACCAAAAGCGGCCAUAAUCAAAGGGAUGGUCAUGUGUGGUAGAUGUCAAUGCAAGUGUGAACUCAAGAUACCACCAACAGGAGUUAUCAUAGAUCAUAAGUUGAUCAGAAGGAAAGAAAAAGAAAGGCAAGAAGCCCGCGAGAAAGUUAUGCGGGCAGCAGAAAGAGAUACUUCCCAGUGUGUUUUCCAAAGGUUGGAAGGAGAUUCCCAACCUAGGGGUUUAUCGGAGGUGUUUCAAAAUCAUGAAGCCUCUGAGGAAGCAGAAGACAAGGAGGCAAAAAUGCCAAAAUGGAAGGAUAUAAGGCCUCCUCAAUAUGGCCACAUGGGAGGAGAGAUCAGAAGAAAUAAUAGGAUAACAAAUCCUGCCAAAAAAGAAAAUCCUGCCCGCCUCGGCCGAAAGUGGUAUGUGGUUGAGAAAAAUGGACAGCCCGUCAAGAAAAUGGGAGCCUCCAUGGUUAGAAGGGUCUGGAGACAACACAAGGCUUACAUGAAUUCUUUACAGACUCCCGCAACGUCUGAAGACUCUAAGAAUGAAAAGUUUGAAAAAACAUCAUCCAGGGGAAAAAGUCAGUUCCAUUGGAGGAGUAAAAAAGAAGUGGAGAUGGCCAAUAGCAAGACGGAAGGCGAAGGAAACCACGUACCACAAAGCCCACACCCUGGGAAGUACAUAAUCUUGAGGAGAGCUCAAGAAGAUAUGAUGAUGAUGCCAACACCCAGAUGGAGGACAUAACUUAUUUGUUUUGGAACUGUCUCUCCCGAAAUGAGAGUCCCCUCACCAUUGUUGGUGGAUCCUUUUGGCGAAGUUCUGAGGCAAAUACUAGACUUUGGCAUAGAUCAGCAUGAGGGGCACCAGAACUAAUGCUCCUAUGAGAUGCACUGGCCUGGUUGGAUGAAUUCAUGGACCGCAUUAGGAGCAAGAAAGAAGACUUACCGGAACCCAGCAAUUUUCAUAUAAACAUGACAUAUGUUUUAUCAGCCAUGUUUGGUGCCGAGCCUAAUCAGCCCGCCAUGAUGGAGGGUGAUUAUUUGGCAGCAGAGCCAAUGAUGGCCCAUGUCAGUGUGGAAGUUGCUGAAGAAGGAGAGUCAGGAAAAGCUGAGUUGUUCGAGGCAUCCAAAAAUAAACCAAUGAGGAUCUAUACGGACAGAAUGGUGUUCAGCCGCCUAAACUUGAUGUUAGCCAAUCAUCUUAAGCCUAUAUACGUCACGGCUCAUUUGGAAUGAGUGUCUUUCAAAAGGGUUUUGAUUGAUGGUGGGGCAGCUGUCAACUUAUUGCCAGCCAAACAGAUGAAGAAGUUGGGAAGAAGGGUAGAAGAUCUCAUUCCCAUGGACCUAACAAUUUCAAGCUUCUCGAAAGCCAUCACCAUAACCCAUGAGAUAUUGCCCUUAGAAAUAGACUUGGGGUCUAAACAAAUUAUGCUGGCAUUCUUUGUGGUGGAUUGCACUUCCACCUAUGGAGCAUUACUUGGAAGAGAUUGGAUCCACCAAAGUCUCGCCAUACUUUCCACCCUACAUCAACAAAUUGUUGUUAACCACGAAGAAGGGACGGGAGAACCAGGUUUUUGGGAGAUGGUGGAGGCCGAAUCACAGACAUUUCUUCCUAUAGCCAAUGUUGCGGAGGCUAGUUUCUACAAUCCCAACGUAGGAAUUCUACAAUGUUCAGGAGUAGAUGAGAACGGUCGCCCUACUAAGGUGACGGCCCAAAAGCUCUUAGAACAGGGAAUGCUCUUCACAAGGGAGGAAUGAGAUAAACCAUGCAUCAUCCCAACACGCCAACACCAUUAAUGACAGAGCAAAAAAGGAAGGAUCAAGUAAUGGCAGUCAGGUCUUUGAUCAAAAGAUUGUUGGUGUAUAGGAGAGGAAGAAAACAAGAAAAGUAGGAAUGGCAGCUAGAAUUUCUAAACAGCCAGAGUAAAAACAAGGAAGAGCUUUGCGGAGAAUAAUUGGAUGCGGCCAUACAAAUGGCCGAAUACAUAUAUGACCUGGAUGGGCCAGACAACUUGCCCGAAAGCCCGGAGUUAGUCAAAUUUUUGUGUGCAGAGCCAGACAAGCCACCACCAGAGGUUCAGGAUCCUUUGGAAGUCAUUGAUCUGGGGACGGAAGAAAAUCCAAGACCCAUACAAAUCAGUGGCUUGUUGGAGACUGGCGAUCGGACAGAGAUCAUUAGCCUUCUGCAAGAAUUUAAAGAUUGUUUUACUUGGCAUUAUACAGAAAUGCCAGGUUUAGAUUCAACCUUGGUGGAACACAGAAUGCCCAUCAAGGAGGGAUAUAAACCUGUCAAGCAAGCGUCACGAAGGAUGUCAAAAGAAAUAGAAGAAAAUGUCAAAGAAGAAAUUGAAAGGCUAGUAAAAACUGGAUUUAUUAGGCCUGCCAAAUAUGUGGAGUGGUUGGCCAACAUUGUACUUGUUUUAAAAGCCGUAACAAAAGUAGUACGAUGUUGUGUUGAUUACAGAAAUAUCUCAUGGCGCUACACCAAAAGAUGAAUAUCUCAUGCCCAUGGCUGGCCUAUCCAUAGAUGCAGUGGCAAAGCACAAAGUCAUAUCUUUUAUGGAUGGGAAUGUCGGGUAUAAUCAGAUAAAAAUGGCUCAGGAUGAUAUACACAAAACAGCUUUUAGGUGCCCCGGGCACGUGGGGGCAUAUGAAUACCUAAUCAUGCCAUUCGGGCUCAAAAAUGCUAGUGCAACCUACCAAAGAGCCAUGAAUGCCAUCUUUCAUGAUUUAAUUGGCCGAAGCAUGGAGGUAUACAUUGAUGAUAUCGUGGUGAAAUCCAAGACAGAAGAACAGCAUUUGACAGACCUCAGGCAAGCCUUGACAAGAGUGAGGAUCCAUAGACUAAAGAUGAAUCCAAAGAAGUGCGCGUUUGGAGUGAGAGCGGGCAACUUUUUAGGAUUCCUUGUUCAUCAAAGAGGUGUAGAGGUGGACAAAAACAAGUCUCGAGCAAUAAUGGAGUCACCUUUGCCCACCAACAAAGUACAACUUCAGAUGCUGCUAGGCAAAAUCAAUUUCUUGAGAAGAUUCAUUGCCAAUUUAGCGGGCAAAAUCCAGCCGCUAACUUCUCUUCUGAGAUUGAAGGAUAAAGAAGAAUUUGAAUGAGGACCACCACAUCAAAAGGCUUUUGACAGCAUAAAAGACUAUUUAACUUCUCCACCAGUGUUCGUACCACCUCAAAGGGGAAAACCCUUAAAGCUAUACAUCUCUGCUUAAGAAAAAUCAAUUGGAAGUUUACUGGCCCAUGACAACAAAGGCGGGAAGGAGCAAGCGGUGUACUACCUUAGUAGAAUUCUGACUGAGGUAGAAACAAGAUACACCCCAGUAGAGAGAUUGUGUUUAGCUCUAUAUUUCACUACCGGCAAGUUGAGGCAUUACAUGUUACCUUGUCACGUCCACAUCAUAGCCAAAACAGACGUGAUUAAGUACAUGUUGUCAAAACCAAUGCUAAUAGGAAGGAUUGGGAAGUGGAUUCUAGCAUUAUCAGAAUUCAGCUUUCAAUAUGUACCCCAAAGAGCAGUCAAAGGCCAAGCAAUUGCCGACUUCUUAACAGAGCAUAAAGAGUCUCAGAAUGAGAUUAUUAGCAUCUCAAGAACCUUAGAGGUAACCAGUGUUUGGAUCCCAUUAAGCAAAGGCAUCUCGGGGCAAGGAGGAAUGGGUCUAACAGGAGAUAAAAAAAGUAAUAGGUUUUUGGGUCACUUCUUGAAAGCUGUAUUUUGAUGGUUUUUACACUCAGAAGGCUUCUGGAGCUGGGAUUGUCAUCAUAAAUCCUUAAGGGGUUCACCAUUAUUAUUCGUUCCUCCUAGAUUAUCAAAUGAGCACCAACAAUCGCGCAGAAUAUGAGGCCUUAAUAAUUGGCCUAGAAAAUACAAGUGCAAGCAAUCACCAUGGCUGGAUAUUACUUAGCAGCCACUCAAUUGUUAAGUUAUUGGGAUACUGAGAUAUCGAUUAAUCAUGUCCCCAGGGAAUCCAAUCUGGUGGCCAACGAGGUGGCGCAAAUGGCCUCCGGGGUACCAAUCCAAGAAAGAAAGUAUGAAGUAGAUAUUGAGAUUCAAAGGAGAAAUCUCCCUUCUAUUUUAGAAAGGGGAUUCAGUCUGGAUAUGAUGGUUGUAGAGCCCGAGAUAGAAGAUUGGAGAUCACCUAUCAUUCAACAUUUAAAGGAUCCUUCUUCACCCACAAGCAAAAAGAAUAGACAGCAAGCAACCAAGUAUGUCUUAUGGGCGAAAAACCUGUUAAGAAAAACUCCAGAUGGGCUACUAUUGAAGUGCCUUGGCCAAGAAGAAUCUAUGAGAGUAAUGGCCGAAGUACAUGAAGGGAUAUGUGGGGCACAUCAAGCUGGAACAAAGAUGAGAUGGUUUCUUAUGAGGUAUGGGUAUUUCUCGCCCGACAUGGAAAAAUAUUGCAAGUCCUAUGCCCGAGGCUGUGAAGAAUGUCAAAGGCACGGACAUCUCCAACAUGUGCCUUCAGUACCUUUAAAUCCAGUGGUCAAGCCUUGGCCCUUCAGAGGAUGGGCAAUGGACUUCAUCGGGUAGAUUUAUCCAGCUUCUAGCAAGGGGCAUACUUUCAUAAUAGUGGCAACGGAUUAUUUCACCAAAUGGGUAGAAGCCUUGGCCGUGAAGUCCAUAACCUCAUCUGUGGUUAAGAAAUUUAUUGAGACCAAGAUUCUGCACAGAUAUGGGGUGCCCGAAACCAUAGUCACGGAUCGUGGGCCAUCUUUUAUUUCAAAGGAGAUUGAAGAAUUUGCAAGUAAAUACAAGAUAAAGAUGAUUCAGUCUAAUCCUUACUACCCUCAGUCAAAUGGUCAGGCCGAAGCUAGCAAUAAGAUUUUGAUAAACAUUAUCAAAAGAAUGGUGACAGAUAGUCCGGAGAAGUGGCAUGAGAAGCUAGGGGAUACUUUGUGGGCAUAUCGAACCUUCAAAAGGGCAGGAACUGGGACGAUUCCUUAUGCUCUGACUUUCGGGCAAGAUGCAAUGCUUCCCAUGGAAAUCAAUGUGAGUUCUGUCAGAAUUCAGAAUCAAUUCGGGUUACACAGUGAAGAAUACAUCGAAGCUAUGUGUCAAGGGAUUGAAGACUUAGAUGUAGCCCGAAUUGAGGCCUAAACCAGAUUCAAGAAGGAAAAAGAGCGGUUGCCCAAGCUUACAAUAAAAAGGUGAAGUUAAAGUCUUUCAGAGAAAAAGACUUAGUAUGGAAGGGAAUCCUCCCUUUAAGAGCUCAGCUUAGGGGCUUUGGGAAAUGGAGCCCGACUUGGGAAGGUUCUUUUAUUGUUAGUCAAGUAUUAGACAAAGGCGGAUAUUACUUGGCGGACAUAGAAGGGAAUUGGCAGAAACAUCCCAUUAAUGUUAAAUUCUUAAAGAAAUAUUAUCCUACAUUAUGGGAUGUCAGGGAUUGUUAUAUAGAAGAAGAAAGAGGAUAACGCAGGGUUCGAGAUGAAGAAGGGCAAUGUUUGUUCAUCAACCAUUCGAAAAAGGCAUAAAGAUAAAAGCAGUUAAAAAGGUAUAUUUUAUUCAUUUCGACAAAUUGGUGAAGUUUACAUUCAGCUCAAAGGCUUUACUUUCUUAAAAAGCUAGAAUAGAUCCUAGAAAAGAAGUUUCUACAUUUCUCCUGACGCGCUUUAUCCAACUCCUUCCAGUUGUGAUGCCGACUCGUGCAGUCUUCCGGUGUCUUCAUUUGCAAAACCCGAUCAGGUGAUCGGGUUGUGCGACCAUAAUAGGCCUGGUAGAGGACCCUCAAAGAAAACUUUCACAAGAUGUGACGGUGAAGUCUGACUUAUGAGGGCAACUACCAAGCUGGCAUUUACUCGACUAAGCCUAUAUAUUCAACAAGCUUAGAACGAGUAGAACGUCUGACCAAAGGUGUUGGGGAUAACGGGACGUUUGACCAAAGGUGUUGGAGAUAUUAGCUAUUUGGUGAGGAUCUUUCUUACGGAAUGAGAGUUUCAAGACUUUCCACAUGAAUCCUGAUGAGCGUUUUUCCCCAGUUUCAGAAAAAGAUUUAGAAGGCAGGGACGCCCGAAGGUGAUGAAGACUCUCCAAGAGGGGAAAGUAUUGAAGAUGGCUUGUCUGCUAAACAUGGGGAGUGAUUGGUUUGAGUUGCUUGCUCAGAAAAUGAAAAUUUGAGCCGGAAUUUAUAAGAGCAUCAGAUGAUAACCAAAAGUCCAUGGGAAGAGCAAGAGACGCAAGAUUGCAUUAAUUCCGUCCAAAGCUACAAGUUCCGAGAAUAGGCGUGCACACACAAACGACUGUUUAAUCAAUAUUGGCGCUUGGAAUUCCAGCCUAAAUAAUGAUUAUAGGGGGCACUGUUUGGAUUAAAACUUAAACUUUGGGCUCAAGUGGAAGUCAGCCAAAGGGAAGUCUGGAAGGAAGAAAACCUAAGGUCCAACCGAAGCCCAGAAGAUGGAAAAAGCCUUUUUUCGGCUAAGCGCAGACCACUUAAGCCACUUGCUCACCUACUCAAAGAACAAGUGGUGUAGAUCAGCCAGCUAAUCAUCCCAAAAGUACUUUACAAUGGCAGUACAAGUAAAAAGUUGGUGAGUCACUACCCUUCAGUCACAUUCGGGCAAGAGCAAAGCUACAGUCAACCGAGCCAAGUUGUCUAUAAAAGAAGAAAGAGAAAUCAAAGAUGAAGACACUUAAUCAAUCAAACAAACAAUCUUACAACUUGUCUAUCGCAGUCAAGCCAAGAAACCCACAAAGCUAUGCUUUGUCCAGAGUCUACACUCUUUUCAGCUUUAAGCUCCUUGUAGAACAGACAACCUUUGUCUUUGUAAAAGCUCUGCUACCUUGUCUAAAUCUUGUUGUAGUAUCGAUUCCCUCCUAUAAACUUCUCUACCAAUCUUCCCCUUUCAGCACCCAAACACUUUGUAACUACAAAGAAAGGAAGCUGCAAGACGAUCAACCUUGCCCGACCCUCUUUGUUCUGUCUGUUAAUUCAUAGAUCUAGCAGUAUGAUGUAUACUUCAAUAUAUAUCCAAGUUAUUUCUAGUCAGUUUGUGAUUAAAAGAUCUAUUGGUUCUCGAAUCUAGUCUGAUUAAUGGUUUUAACCAUUACAAAAGAUAAGUAAAGGUUCGAGCUCAAAUUUACGAAUCUAGUCAGUUGAGGAAGAAGUGGCUUAGACCUAUUAUGAUGGUUCAGAUAUUUCUCAAAUUUACGAAUUGAAGGUUAAAUCUUUCAGACUUCGUCAAGAGGGCCGGCCAGCUGGUGCUCCUCAUCCUAAUAAUCCUUCUAAUCAAUCUUUAAAUUCUCGUCCUUUUAAUCGAGAAAAUAAAGAUGAUUUGAAGUGGACUUUCUAUGGACAAACCCGUCAUACUGAGGAUACGUGCUUUGCUAAGCAUAGGGUGCCUGAUUGGUUUCCGAAGUUGAAGAAAAAUUGCGUGCAAAGGAGCUUGGAAGUGCAAGCAAUAAUGGAGGUCGUGUCUUCCUAGCUACUGCUCCACCGAAGGCUAAGGAGGCCGAGCCUACUUCUUAUGACCCGAGUCAAACCUUGUUGACUCGUUCUACCCAUGGCGACUCAUCCUUCACCACAGGUACUAUAGGGCAUGGUCUUUUGGCCUCCGAUACUGAGCAUCAUACAGGUUAGAUUCUGGACUCUGGUGCAAUAGAUCAUAUGACAUAUGAUAAGAAUAUGUUUUCAAUGUAUGACAACAUCUCACAUGGAAUAUAUUGCCACCACCAAUGGUACCCGUGCCCCUGUUGUUGGUGAUGGCACUGUGUAUCUUACAGCCUCUCUCCCUUUACACCGAUGUUUACUUGUUCCAUCUUUAUCACAUCAUUUACUUUCCAUACCACAGGUUACUGAACAAUUGGAUUGUGUUGUUCUAAUGUAUCCGUCAUUUUAUCUACUUUAGGAUAUUCAAACCAAUGAGACAAUUGGGCGUGGCACUAAGAGAGAGCAGUUGUACUAUGUGGAUGAUGUUGUUCCUAGCAGAGCUCAUGCAAUACGAGUGUUCUGUGAUAGUAAUCUACAAGAAGUAUGGUUAUUGCAUCGUCGAUUAGGGCAUGCAUCCUUUAGAUAUUUAAGGCAUAUGUUGCCUAGUUUAUUUAGUGGAAUAAAUGAAUCAAACUUACAUUGUGAAGUUUGUAUUCUUGCUAAAAGCUACCGUGCUUCAUUUCCUCCUAGUAUGAAUAAAAUACCUUUUCCGUUUGAUCUUGUGCAUUCCGAUGUUUGAGGGCCUUCUCCAGUUACUACUUCUUCAGGAAUUCGGCGGUUUGUUACAUUUGUUGAUGAUUGCACUUGUAUGACAUAGCUUUAUGUGUUGAAAAAUAAAAGUGAUGUUAGUGCCAUAUUUCGAUCUUUUGCUCAGAUAAUUCAGACAUAAUAUUCUUCUGUUAUCAAGGUUCUCCGUUCUGAUAAUGGAGGAGAGUACAUCAAUUUUGAGUUGUCGGAGUUUCUACGUGAUCAAGGGAUUCUCCAUGAAACCACGUGUCCGUAUACUCCACAACAAAAUGGGGUUGCAAAGUGUAAAAAUCACCACAUUUUGGAAACAGCUCGUGCCUUGCUCCUUGGCGCCUCGGUUCCGCAGCGUUUUUGGCCUGAAACGGUUACCUAUGCCGUGUAUGUUAUUAAUCGUAUACCCUCUCGGGUGGUUAGUUUUCAAACACAUCUUCAAGUCCUCACACAACAUGCUCCAGUGGUGUCCAGUAAUACUCUCACCCCUCGAGUCUUUGGUUGUUUGGCUUAUGUUCAUAUUCAGAAAAUACAUCGUAAUAAAUUGAAUCCGUGUGCACUACGAUGUGUCUUUCUGGGUUUCUCUUCUCGCCAAAAGGGGUAUAAGUGUUACCAUCAUGAAACCCGGCAUAUGUAUAUAACCAUGAAUGUGACCUUCUCUCAAACGGGAUAUUUCUACACUUCUGUAUCCUCCACUUCAGAUCACCAGGGGGAGAACACUGUUGGUAAUCUGAAAUUGUUGGAUCUAUGGGAGAUGUGAUUAUUAAACAGCGUGUAGGACCUGGAAUUGUUGGUGCCGAAUGUACAGUGGGUACCGAGUGUAUUGAUAGCUCGGAUGAUGUUUGUGAUUUAAAGUUGAAUCUGACCGAACCCAUAAGAGAGUCUCAGCCAGCUAGUGUCAAGGAAUGUCCAGUUGUUCAGCAAUCCCUUGCUGAGCCCACUACACAUGCCCUUGUCGAGCCCAGUACAUCCUCUCUCUCUAGUUCUGAUGUGCCACCCAAUACAUCUUCUCUGAAUAUGCCAGAGGUAAGUAUCGUAAAUGAUUGUGUAACUAAUCUAAGUAAUAAUGUGAGUACUUAUAAAGUGCCACCAAGACAAAAUCGAGGUGUGCCUCUUGAUAGGUUUUCUCCUGAAGGGAAGGUGAAGUAUCUGAUAGCCAAUUAUGUAUCAUGUAACAAGCUUGCACCAGAACGACAUACAUUGGUGAGUACUAUGGAGUCUAUUCCAGUACCUACUCGAGUGGAGGAAGCUCUAAAAGAUCCAACGUGGGCAAAAGCAAUGGAUGAGGAGAUGUUGGCAUUACAGAAAAAUAAUACUUGGGAGGUGAUGAUGCUACCUACAGGAAAGAAAACAGUAGGAUGCUGAUAGGUAUUUACGGUUAAAUAUAAGGUUGAUGGAACUGUAGACAGAUACAAAGCAAGGUUGGUGGCUAAAGGGUAUACUCAAACAUAUGAGGUGGAUUAUCAAGAGACUUUCUCCCAGGUUUCCAAGAUGAAUAUGGUACGUGUUCUUAUCUCUUUAGCUGUAAAUAUGGAUUGUCCAUUAAAACCGUUCGAUGUGAAGAAUGCGUUUCUCCAUGAGAAUUUGAAGGAAGAAGUAUAUAUGGAUUUUCCUCCUGGAUAUAGCAAUGGUGGGAAUACCGGAGUAUGUCGGUUGCGUAAGUCACUUUAUGCGCUUAAACAAUCGCCUCGUGCAUGGUUUGAUAAAAUUACUCAAGUGAUGAAAAUGAAUGGAUAUCGUCAGAGUCAUUUUGAUCAUACUUUAUUUGUAAAGCGUAAACAAAAUAAAGUAACAACCUUGAUUAUUUAUGUAGAUGACAUGAUUAUAACAGGAGAUGACGUUGAUGAGAUGUCCAAGUUGCAAGGAAACCUUGCGGUUAAAUUCAAAAUGAAGGAUUUAGGAGAUCUGAAGUAUUUUUUGGGAGUUGAAGUUGCUCGCUCAUCUAAAGGUAUCUUCUUGUCUCAAUGUAAGUAUGUACUGGAUAUAUUAAAAGAGACGGGUAUGUUGGAAUGUAAGCCGGUAGAGACUCCUAUUGUUGAGAAACAUCAUUUGUGUUUGAAUCUAAGUCAGAAACCGGUUGACAAAGGUAGAUAUCAGAAGCUUGUAGAGAGACUGAUUUAUUUGGCUCAUACUCGUCCUGAUAUUGCCUAUGUUGUGAGUGUUGUGAGUCAGUUCAUGCAUUCACCAAAUGUGGAUCAUAUGGCUGCUGUUAUGCAUAUCUUGGCAUACUUGAAGUCGGCACCUGGAAAAGAAGUAUUGUAUGGGAAACACGGGCAUUUGAGAAUUGAAGGGUUUACUGAUGCAGAUUGGGCAGGUGAUGUAACUGAUAGACGGUCUACUUCUGGGUAUUUUACCUUUGUUAGAGGGAAUUUGGUGACAUAGCGAAGUAAGAAAUAGAAGGUGGUGUCACGGUCUUCAGCUGAGGCCGAAUAUAGAGGAAUGGCUCAAGGAAUUUGUGAAAUCCUUUGGCUACGAAAACUUCUUUUAGGACUUGGGGGUUUAAACCGAAGGAGAUCAUGAAGUUGUAUUUUGACAACAAGUCAGCAAGAGAUAUAGCUGAUAAUCCAGUGCAGCAUGAUAUAACGAAGCAUGUAGAGGUGGAUCUGCAUUUUAUUAAGAAGAAGCUUGAAAAGAAGAUUGUAUCAAUACCGUUUGUGAAUUCAGAGGAGCAACUUGUAGAUGUUCUUACUCAUGCAGUAUGUGGUCGAAAGUUUGGUGACUCACCUGUCAAGUUAGGCAUGCCACUACUAGAAAUUUGGCUAUAAGCCACCCUUUCAUUUGGUGGCUAUUGUCAAGUGUUGCCACUCACAUUGGUGGCAAACCUCUAUGGCCACCAAGCACCCACUAAACUAGAGAGUGUGGCCUAUGUAGAGGACUCUAUUGUAACAAUGGCUAACAAUAUUGCAUUGGUGGGUAUGUGAAUAGUACAACAUUUUUAUAUUUUAUAAUUAUUUGUAAAAUUCAAAAUAUGUCAUUGUCUCUCUUAUUAGUGGCUAGAUUUGAGACUAACAUUGGUGGUUUUCAGACUCAUACACCCACCAAUCCUAUGUGUCUCUAUUAGGAUCAGUGGCUUUUAAAGUAUGGGCACCAACAAUGGUGUGAAUCUAUAGCAUUCCAAAUGGCCUUUAUGUUCGAAUUGUAUUACAUGGCUGUUAAAUCAUAGCUCUGUACUAUAUUAAAACUCAUCUUCUUAAUAUAAACUUCACAUUGAUUUUAAAUUUGCAAAAGGAUUCACCUUGAUAACCAACCACACUUUAUAUCCCAUACGGAAUCAAUAACAAGGUUUGUCCCUUUUAAAGGAAGCAUAUUACAUUCAUGUUUGUUAUCCAACACAUCCAACUACCCAAGGGUGAUGAGAUUACAUUUUAUAAAACCAACAGUACAUAUGCACAUCCACCAAUAGCAACUGAACUAACAAAAUCCACCCAAUUGGAUCUAUGUCUUCCCUAUGACAUUUGUACUAUAUACAUCAAGCAAAAUUCACAGGAAUGAUCACAGUUAGCUUAUCACGUACUGAACCUAGUGACAUUCACCAUGCAUGGACGAUAGACAAUUAGCUUAUCACUUACUGAACCCAGUGACAUUCACCAUGCAUGGACGAUAGACCAUCUCAUCAUCUGUGCCAUUAUUCUGCAGCACAACAAUGCCAUCAUCUUCAACUUCUCCACUUGCCUAAAUCUCCAAACUAGUCCCUUGUUCAAUUCUAGUCACACAAGCUUGAGUCACAUCAACUCGAUUUGGUUCCACAAUGCCUCCAUCAGCAGCCCUCAUCAGCAUGGACAUAAUUGCAGCCCUCAGUUCACGUUUCAUGUUUCCACAACAAGGUGCCUAAAGAUGAAGUAGUCAAGUAAAAUAUGUAACGUAAACAAAUUAAGUAAAUAUAGUAUGUGAAUAAAGAGGACAAAAUUUACAUACGCAACUGCAAGGGAGUAUAUUAUUUUAGAAUUCAAUUUUUGUAAGAGGAAAAAAAACUCCAAUCGCUUUUAUGAGUGACAUUGUAUAUAUGAGUCUUGCACAGGAUUUUAGGGUGCAGGUGUCACGCCCCGAUCCCAACUCCAGGAUCGACACGUGAUGUUACCAAACACUCGUAUCUCAACAUACCCCGUUUCCAGAAUAUGGCAAAUCACAACUCAAGAAUCAAAUCGCAUAGUCAUUUUUCCGUAUACUUUAUGGCUGCAUCUAACAUCCUCGUUAGACUGCCUACGUACCCUUAUUAGGGAUCAAGCCAUUUGUAGUUCGUCCAUUCGCUACACUCGAACAUUCAUCACAUAAACCACUAUAUCUCAAAAUAAUACCACAAUUCAAUUAUAUAGCACCUCAAGGAGCAUUUAACAAGGCACAAUAUUAGUAUCUAUUCAUAUCAUCACUCAUCCACACAUAUGUAUUCCAACACCAUCCAAUUAUCACAUCAAUCAAUAAUACCAAUCACCAUAUUAUCAAUAACACAUACAAUUCAUCGAAAUACUCAACGAAAUCCAUCAACAUCGGGUUUCAGAACUCUCAACGGAACCAAGACACCAAAGGGGAUUCCGGACCAUCACUCAACGAAAUCCAAACUAGGAUACGAUUCCGGACCAUCACUCAACGGAAUCGCGGAGUAGAAGGGAUUCCAGACCAUUACUCAACGAAAUCCAAACCAAGAUACGAUUCCGAACCAUCACUCAACGAAAUCGCGGAGUAGAAGGGAUUUUGGACCAUCACUCAACGGAAUCACAUGAUAGAAGGGAUUCCGGACCAUCAUUCAACGGAAUCAUAAGAUAGAAAGGAUUCUGACCAUCACUCAAUGGAAUCAUAGGAUAGAAGGGAUUCCAGACCAUCACUCAAUGGAAUCAUAGGAUAGAAGGGAUUCCGGACCAUCACUCAACGGAAUCCAAGCAAAGCAUAUGGUACCUACCAAAUGUACCAGGUAUAUCUAAACCUUAUCAUCUCCAUAAUUACAACGUAGUCACUUACCACAUUCACUUCUCGCGGCCACCAACUAAUAUGUCACACAAGCAUAUAAGUUCUAUAGAAUACUUCUAAUAGGAAUAUACGAUCACAUUGUCACCACAUUUAUCGGACUUACCCUUCACAUUACUAAAAGAUAAUUAAACGCACAUAUAUCACAAUCAUCACUCUUACCCUUCAUAGACUUUCUUUGUGUCAUGUUUGGUGAUACACAAACUCUCACAAAUGGUGUUCCUGACAACCGACCUUGCUACUAACAAACUGCAAUAACAGAAAUUACAUCAUAUGAAAGUAGUUAAAUAAUUUUAUUUAAUCGUAGGUCAUAAAGCUCAAAACUUUCUAUCAAAAUAAUUCAAAACCUCAAAUAGAGAACAAAACAUCUACAUUGACAAUAACAACCCCGAACAAUGAACGAAACAUUGAAAUGAAAUCAAAUCAUGUGAUACCUUUUCAAGUGAUGCCCCUAUGAGGAGAUCAAAUUAUGUACCCUAGAAUGGACUGAAAACUGCUCAAUGAGAAUAAAACCAAGCAAAAAAUAUAAGCAAAAACUGGGUUCCAAAGUACGCCCCAAAAUUGUACUGCUUAGACUACUGUCUCAAUUGAGCGCAGCAAAAUGGAGACCCCAACAUUCAAUGAUAAAGAGAAUGUUUUCGUGCCAAUAAAUGCCUCCUUGAAGUUAGAGAGGGAUAUGAAGGACUACUCUACCACUCUUUGAUUAUUAUUUGUAGCUGUUAGAUAGCAAUGCAAAAGCUCUCAUGAGGGGAAAUCGCAGAGGCUGGUCCUAAUUUACGAGACAACAUAGAUGCAUGUACGUAAACAGCAGGGAGUUGUCCUACAGAGGCCAUGUCGCUUCCUCGUCUACUAAUAAUUACAUUGUUUUGAAGUUGUAGACCACAUAACGAAGCAUGGAAUGUAGCUUAACUAUUAGCAUUCAUGCAGGGGUCGUAGGUAUCAGCUUUAACUCAUACCAAAACUCAAAAACACAUAAAAUAUCAUAUGCAAGUUCUUUCAUAGCCAUGUUAAUGUAAACCAAACUUUCUCUACCAAAGUCCAUUUUUGUGUUUACGCUGUUUACAGAACACAAGCACAAAAUGUGAUAUCCUUAUAGCAUAAGCUUAACCAAGAGUGGAACUUUACAUAGAUAGUUCUACUUAUACCCAUUUUCUUUCAGUUUCUACAGGCUGUAAGGAUAGUGGUUUGUUUAAAAAAAUGUAGUUGCGAUUUGCCUAACUCGUGAUGUUGUGGAAACAGUACAGAGAUUCUUAUAUUUAUACACCAACCAAUAACUCCUAGCUUAUAUCUGCAAUAACAAUAAUAAGCAACCCUGUAUGGUUUCCAGUUUGAUCCAACGUGAACAGAUAGAAGAAGCACUUCAAACUAAACUAACAAAAAACUCCAACAUAAUCGAAGACUUAAUAAACAAAUUGAAAAGUUUGGUCUAAAAAAUGUUGAAUAUUGAAUAUGAGAAACACAAAAUUACCUGUUUUUACUCCCUAAAAUCAAUUCGAUGUGUUGCAAGCCCCAAAUUGAUUGUAAGAAACCCAAUUGAUAAUAAAUAAUGAACCGAGGAGCUUAAUCUGUUGAGAAAUUAAAAGGGCAAGGUAUGCGAAGCAAAUACCCAGCAACGUGGGAGCCGAGUUCCAUUGCCCACGCCAGUCGCCAACAAAACGAAGCCACUAACAAUCUUGUCCAUUAUGCCCUGUCCGCAUCCUGAGACUGAGACUGGUUCGCGGAACCGCCCGACUUCAUCACUGAUUCAAUAAUGACCGAGAUAUGCGAUUAGGGUCCAAGGCUCUAUCCUUCUAUGAGUUUUUGAUGCGAAAAUUAUCUUAACACACAAAUUUAACCCUCUUUUGACAAUUGUAGUAUAAGUAUAAGUAGGGAUCGUUCUAGGCCGGGGAUUAAGAGGGAUUGCUAAUUUACUCUAAACUGACUCAAAGACACAAAAACAAACUUAAAAGCGUUAGGAUAGAUUCAAAAUACUCAAAACUAGUUCACAAGACUCAACAUAAGCUAAGAAGACUCAAAACUGCCUAAAAACAACAACUAGGCAAUUUCUGACACUAAACACAAUUUUGGACGAAAAUAAAGUUUGGACUUGACUCAAAACACUUAAAACGCAAACAAAACAAGUUUAAAAGAAUUUGAAACAAGAAAGUAAUGGGGGGUUUGAUUUGGACGAACUUAGAAUAACAAAACAAAUUGUAACUUAAAAACAGGUUUGAAAAUAAAUUUAGAAAAUUAGAUGGAUGAUGGGAUAGCUAGAGGAUUUUUCUCCACACAUGACAUGUAUGCAAACAACUCGAUUUCCAGUUACUACUUCAUUGAAUUAUGAACGACAAUACUCCAAAUUAACUGUGACAUCACUAGUUAACCCUCAAAUUUUCCUUGUUUUAUUGGAUUGGAUGACAUCAUUCGACAACCCAAAACAUUCUUCAAAAGUUCCCUACAUGACAUCAUAAUAGAGAUACAAUCAAAGAUCAUUACAUUUAAUGAAAAUCAUAAGCAUUGACAAAGCACUUGCAACUAUGACAUCAUGUCACUCAUGCUAGGAAUUAAACUUAACGCGAUCGUUUAUAAGCGACCUCCACUACUUGUGAAUAUAAGUUUUUAACAAUUAUGUGAAACUUUCUUAUACUCUAGCAUCGGAUUUAUGCAUGCCAAUUAAGUGUCGACCCUUAAUCAACAAAUACAAAUAAGUUAUCAAUCAAACAGUUAAGCCAAUUGCAUUCAUGAUUCAAGAAUUCAUAACUGGAAUUUAUCAAAUCAUCUUGUACACAUAAUCAUGGCUUUGAAAUCACCCCUAGCCAAGAGGGGUUUAGCCACUCAUGUUCACAACAAAACGAAAGAAAAUGAAUUUAAACAUUGGAAACAAAAGAAAGAAAACACCUAAACGCUCCAAUGAUCCAAGUUGACAGCAAGCACGUCCAAGCACUUUCCUUUCCUUCCUUUGCUACGGCACAAGGUGUUGGUGAGUGUUUGAAGGUUGUUUGUAUGGAGGAAUGAAUGUAAAGAUGAAUGGAUGUGUUUGGAUGAAGGUUGUGUUGAAAUGGGAGUGAAUGAUCUAACAAAAUAUGCACUAAAUUUAUGUUACACACACUUCCUUUUAUAGAGGAAGUGCAAGGCAAUGGAGGGGGACAUGAAGUGUGUGUGCAAUGAUUCAAGGGUGAAAGUGAAGUAAUGAUGCAAAGCAUGGGUAAAAUAGAGUGGUGUUGAAAUGAUUCAAGGGUGAAAGUGAAGUAAUGAUGCAAAGCAUGGGUAAAAUGGAGUGGUGUUGAAAUGAUUCAAAGGUGAAAGUGAAGUAAUGAUGCAAAGUAUGAGGGGUAAAAUGGAGUGGUGUUGCAACAAUGAAUGCAAGUAGGGAACAUGAAUGAUUGUGCACAUGGUAGAGAAAGGAAAGUGAGGUGGAAUGGUGUAGAAAUGAGUCAAGGGUUAAGGUGGAGUGAUGAUUGAUGCAAGAAAUUUGGAAUGAUGGAGGGAACAAGGGUGGUGCAAGGCAAUGAGUGAAUGAAAUAGACAAGGAAUGUUGUUGGAACUUAGGGACAUUGAGGAUUAGGAAAGAUUAAAUCAAAAUAAGGUAAUCUUGACUCAUGUUUCUUCAUUGGUUGCUGAGCUCUUUGUCCUUUUUAAAUUAAUUCUUCUUUCUCUUUAACACAUUCCUAGCCUCUUUAAUCUUCAAUUUCGCCUAUCUACUUAGCUCCAAGGAUGUGUUAUAUAUUCCAAGCCCAAAACUGCUCCAAAAGGCUUCAAAAUGCACAUUUUUGCGUACGUUGUCCUUAGAACCUGAAAUUGCACGAAAAUGACUUUAAACACUAAAACAACUAAGGAAUAACAACAUAAAUGCAUGAGAACAAGCUAACUCAGUCGCAUAAAUAUGCUCCUAUCAGUUUUGGCUCUAUCUCCCUUUUGUAUUGGACGUGCAUCCGUAGGUCCUGAUAAGCAAAUAUAUAUCCCAGCUUUAAAAACAAAAAAAUUAACCAGUACGUUCCCAACAAAAUAAAUAACAAAAUACAUAAUGAAAUUAAAAAGUAGAAGGAAAGAAAUUUUAAGAAAUAAAGAUAUUUAACAACCACCAAUCAUUGGUGGCUCAAUGUUGAAGGCCACCAACAUCAGCGGCAUCCCAUGGUAAAACCACCAAAAAAUAGUAAGAGUAGCAACUUUACAUCUAUGGCCACCAAUUGCAAAGGGUGUGAAAAAAAUGGUGUCCUAUGAGCCAAAAUUCUAGUAGUGUGUGUGAUAUCUAUGCACCAACUUAAGGGGAGUGUAAACGUGAGUCAUUAAAAAUAAGUAUGUAAAUAUAUUGUAAAUAUUAGGAGUCCUUUAUUAGGAAGUUUUAAUUGUUGUGUCCUUUAUUUAUUAAGGAAAACUAAUGAAAAGAACUUGAAAACUUUGAGUUUUAACGAUAAAGACAAAAUAAAGGGUAAAAUGAAUAGUACCAGGUUUGACUUUUUAGUGUAAAAAUGUGGUUUUUCGUUAAAGUGAACAGUACCGUGGGUUUUUCGUUAAAACUCCCUAUUUAUUAUUGUUUCCAUAUAUAACAAGGAUUGUAUUUGUAUAUAUUUCAAGGAAGUAAUACAAUGAAAAUUAUUCCAUAAAAUUCUAUUAUUAAUGUUGUAUCAUAUCUCGGAGUUCGGGAUGUAACAUUAUUGUGAUUCGAUUUAGGUACAGACCUUACCAGAGUGACAAAGACAAGGCUCCUCCAGGGAGGACUAGUCGGAGGUGUGAAUGGACAUUUAUUUUAGAGAUGUUUCUUUACUUCUUUCACUACUCGAGAUUGCAGCAUAUCGGACGUAUAGCGCUGAUAGAAAGGAAAAAGAGAAUCGAUUAAGAAUUGAAAGAGCCUAUGGAAUUGUCUUCAAAGGAAUGCUCUCUUUUGAAUUCCUUAUUGUUGUCAAAGUCCUCAACUCGUAAUACUGAGAGAUUGAAUCUUUCACGCUCGGCCAAACUUUUCUUGGAAUUUGAAUUAGAUGAAACCAAGUCCUCAACUCGUAAUACUGAGAGAUUGAAUCUUUCACGCUUGGCCAAACUUUUCUUGGAAUUUGAAUUAGAUGAAACCAUAUGAACCUUGAACAGAGCAAAACAAAACUAAUACUGAGAGAUUGAAAUCAUUGAAGUGGACGUGGAUGCUGGGUACUUAACACUCAAGGAAAUCAGUCCAAGAAUGAAAACUCUCUUUUCAUUUGCUAUCCAAUUUUUUGGAAUUAUGUGUGUUGUCCAAUGGAUUAUUCUUUUUUUAUUAAAUUUCUAAGGAAAAUGAGCAUAAGGCGUAAAAGUUGAACUAAUGAAAUUUCAACGAUUUGGAAAGGGAUUAUGAGUUUGCCACGCCACGAAAAACUAUAUUAGAGAGAGAUGAGACAUUUUUUAGAAGAAAACCUCAUUUUCUAAGUGGUACACGCAACUUGAUUAGAAGAAAAGUCAUAGUAUUUUAUUUACUUCCAACUCUUUGGGGAAGAGAGUGCAAGUUUCCAAUGGAAUAUGGGAUGAAAUUUCUACAUAACUAUAUAUGACAAAGAAAGAAGUCUUAAGUUUCUAAGUGGUGAGGCUUCUAAUUGUGUGAGUUUGUUGAGAAAUGAAGAUGAACAUGAAUAUUGAUAUUGAUGUGAGUUAGUGAACAAGUUGCUUCGAUCUCCUUUGGCCCUCUAAUAAGAUAAUAUCGGAAAACAAGUUGUUACUAAUAUUUUUUUAAGUGUCACUAGUCUCGCCCUAUUGUCUUAUUUUUUUCAUCCACAUUAUAAUCUCACCCAUCAUAAAAAAUUAAAAAUAAAAAACUCUAUUUUCCCACCCACCCUUAUUCCUAAUAUAACCUUUUAUAUAUCUCUAAAUUCUUUUAGAUUUUAUCUAUUAGAAUAUAUAUAUAUAUACACACACACACACACACACCUCAACAAAAAAAUGAUAAAAAUUAGUUAACCAUCCCAAUUCCAAAACCGUAGAAGCAACAUAAUUCCAAACCCCAUCUGCACCACGAUCCUCAAUACGGCAGUCGUACCAACACCCAAGCUCCACCCCAUCCAACCUUCGCAACAACUGCAUUCCCUUCUCUGAAUGUAUGAGAACAAGAAAUACAUUUUUUUUUCAUCGUGUCUGGAGUAGCCAAGGAGGAGAAAAAGAAGUAGAAGCAAAACAAUAAAUCACACUAGAAGAGUCACUUUCAAUCCAUAAAUUUUGCCAAGCAUGCGCGUCAGCCAACUCCACAGCACGGAUGACCGCAUGAAGCUCCGCAUAUAAAGAAGUAUGAUGUCCCAAGCUCAAGGAGAAAUCCCUAAGAAAAUAACUCGCAGAAUCUCGAAAAACCCCACCACAAGCUGCAGGACCUGGGUUACCUUUAGCGAGGUUUUCCAUAUUCACUUUGACCCAGGAAAAUGAAGGGGGAUGCCAAGGAACGUGAACUAUGGAAUGAGCUUGACAAGACUCAGCCGAGAUUCGAAGAGAGAUUAAGAGUUGUUUAUCCAAAAUACCACGUACAUGAUCAUGAGUGAAAACUCCAACCUGCCUAAUCCAUGCCAAAGUGGAACGACAAAUGUGUGCAAAGGAAUGAGGCUUACUAAUACAUGUACCGGAUUGGUAGACUAAGACGUACGGUAAGAUUUUUGAUAACCAGAGAAGAUGAACACUGUCAAUGUCGUGACAAAAUUUAUCCAAAUAGAUCCAAACACUCAGGAAGUUUCAUAUGCAGAUCUAGAGCUAAUUUCCUUUUUUUAUCUUAUAGUCAUUACGUAAAAUGUAUAUGCAUAUUUCUAGAUGCAUACACACCAAUGUACAUAAUAUUAACUCCUUUCAAGUAGUCAUUUGCAAAUUUAUUUCAUGUGCCAUUUGUAAUGCUCAUGUGGUACAUUUCUAAUAUCUUAUAUAUAACUUUUUGUGAUCCGUUUCUUCAUCACUAUGCCUAAAUACCUUUAGAAUUUGGUAAUUUCCUCACCCCAAACAAACCCUAACACUCUGUUUAGAUAUGGUAAAAAAACUCGAAAUUUCAUUUAAACUCGAAAUUUCAUUUAAACUCGAAAAUUUAGGGAUGGGAAAGAAAUUUUCCCUUAUUUGGCACUUGUAGCGAGAGAAAAAGGCAAAUUCUAAGGGAAAAAAGUUGAAAUAGGGGAUGAAGAUUUUCCGAUUUUAAUUUCAUCUAAAUAGGUGUAAUUUCACAAUUCCAACUACGACGAGAAUCACAAAUUCAUAUGUAGGAAAAUCUUGCAAGCGCAAAACUUUACAAUUAGGGCACCAAAAUUUCAUGAUAAAACCUGAUAAGGGUUUAGGGCUGCAUCUUUCACUCUACUAACUCUCCAAUCUUCAAAGAGAUUUUCGGCUCAUGCAUCAUCUUCUUGCUUUUGUUAGAGGUCAGCGCCUCUAAUAUCUUCUUUCUUGAAUUAUUUUAGCUUUUCGGGUAUACUCUUUAAGCCAAUUGUGAAUUUUUGCUAAUUAUUUUUAUUUUCUGAUAGUCAUAAGUUUGUUGUGCUUGUUUUCUUUCUUCCGAUUGAAUUGUGUGUUGGUUGGAUCUGUGACACAAUUUUCAGUUUUUUUAUGGAUUUUGCUGCUAGUUCUUUGUUAUAAAUAUUUUGCUUUUGAAGGUUAACAAUAGCCAAGACUGAAUAGGAUGAUUUUGGCGUUAAUUACUAUCUCAUGGUACCAUACCACCACACGCCAAAGCCACCAUCACAUCAUCAUCGCCGCCACCACGAGCCCAUAGGACAACAAAAGCUUGGAGCUUGGGUGGCAGAGGAGAUAGCACCACACGCCAAAGUCACCAUCACAUCAUUAUCGUCGCCACCACGAGCCCAUAGUAAUGGACUUGGAUUGUCUGCCCUCCUAGUUGUGGUGCCCUUCCAUGCCCUCCUAUUUUGUACGGUCACGGUUAAGCCACGUCAAUAUUUUAUAUUAAUUUUUUAAUGAGAUAAUAAGACAAAAAAUAAUUAAAAUAUAAAAUAUUGACGUGGCUUAACCGUGACCGCACAAAAUAAGAGGGCAUGGAAGGGCACCACAACUAGGAGGGCAGACAAUCCAAGUCCCAUAGUAAUCGGCAUAAAAUCAUUAGCCUUAAACGCCGCCAGGGGUUUCCGCCGACUGAGAAAAAGAUAAGAUUUGUGAACACCGAGGUCAUAUCGAUGGCAUCAUAUCAAAACUGAAAUCUUUUAAUCAUCCUCAUCAUUACAGCUAUCCACAAAUUGAAGCAACGAAUUGGGCAAGUGUGCAACAAAUUUCCAAUGUGGGUUUAAUGAGGUUUGUAGUUAAAGAGGGAUGCAAUUUAAGGAUCUGUUCUUGUAAUUUUAUCUGUUCACUUUUGCUUUAUUUGUUUUUUGGUUGCAUUGCCUCAAAAACCUUGUGCUUAUACAUGUAUACAGAACUUUUGGUUAAAACAAAAAGUCACAUAUACCGUAAUUAUUUAAAUUUUGUUGCAUAUCACAAUAUAUCUUUGUUCAUACAUUCAAACAAGCAUGGCAAAUACCGAGGAGGAACAUAGGAAAAAAAUUAAAAUUAUUGUUACAAUUGUAUAUUUUAUUGACAUGGUCAUGCAUUGGUAUAGUAAGAGUUUCCUUGUCAUAGAAUUUUCAAAUGAUUGGGAUCAAGAAAGACAACAUUUUUGAAACUGAUUAUUCUCACCACACAGUAGAAACAAUUUUUUUAAAAGCAUAGCAAUACCAAACUACUACUGUCAUUCUCCUUGGCGCUAUAUUUUUCCUUAGCGCCAUAAGUUUGCUAAGGUGAAGAACCAGCGUCCAUUAAUUUCCAUAUGGAGAGAGAAAGAGAGAGAGAAGACCAAGUAGUCUCAUAAUAUAGGUGGUGUUAAAUCACCUUCCGUGAAGUUGCAAUGGUGUUUGAAACAGUUAGUCAACGGAAAAGACAGAAUUGUGUAUUAUAAUGCUAUCUCGCUAUCCCUCUUUCGUUAAUGGAGGGCACCGUAUAAAUGUAUAAUUACUACAUAUAUAUCUCUGCUCAAUUACAAAAAGAAAAAUCCAUGCGCAUUAUUUUUAUUAUUAUUAGCUUAGAAAUGCAGAAAUUGUUCAUCUCUUCCCUUUAUGUGUGCCCGGACUGGUUUUCUUCAAACUAGUUGGAACAAGCCAAUAUGUGUGCCCGGAAUCCAAGUGUGGCGAUGAUCAAGGCCCGGCUAUCCAAUCCCCAUUGCGCAUCAGCGUCACACAUCAGUGUGGAAAUCCUGGGCUUGAAUGCAAUGGGGGAUAUGAGCAGCAAAUACUAAUAAAAUCAUUUGUCAAACACAUAGAUUACAAGCGUCAGGAAAUCCAAGUAUAUGAUCCAAGCAACUGCCUGCUGCUAAAGCUUGCUGAAAUCACAACCAUGCCACCCUCUCCCUUCUACUUGACAAAUUUUAGAAACCUUAACCUUACCUUAUUCAGUUGUCCUACUUCUGUUGCAAGAGAUAUGGAUUUGUAUCAAGUCCCCUGCCUCGGCGACCCUAGCAGCAGAAUUUAUGCCAUUGAUUCUACAUACGAAUUAGAAGAUUUCUUCCAGAAUCUACAAUCUUGUUCAAAGAUGUAUGAUGUUUUAUCAGUUCCAUUUGGCGAUUGGGCGGGUAAUGGCCGUGUUCUUCAAUUCAAAUGGUCGAAACCAAAUUGUACAGAAUGUGAAGCAGAGGGAAAGAGGUGUAAAUGGAAGAACAAUGGCACCAACAGUGAAAUUGAAUGUCAACACGUGAGCAAACCAAGUAAGGAGAACAUUUUAUAUUCAUUGCUAAUUUUAAACAUCGUUAUAUUUAUGUCUCAGUAAGUAUUAUUUGAAGGAUGUUGUCCGAUCCAUAUUUCUGAGGAUAUUAAUUGUCAUUCUCAAUUUAAUUUGCAAUUCUUUUACAGGCAACACAUGGAAAUUAGUGGUUACAGGUGGAGUCCUGGGUUCUUUGCUUCUUGUUCUACUGAUGAUUGCAGCAUAUCGGGUAUAUAGAGCUGAUAGAAAGGAAAAAGAGAGCCAAUUAAGAAUUGAAAGAUUCUUGGAGGAUUACAAAGCACUCAAACCAAGCAGGUAUUCGUAUGCAGAUAUUAAGAGGAUUACAAAUCAAUUCAAGGACAAGUUGGGCGAAGGAGCCUAUGGAACUGUCUUCAAAGGAAUGCUCUCUUCUGAAUUCUUUAUUGCUGUCAAAGUCCUCAACAGUUCCAAGGGAGAUGGGGAAGAGUUCGUAAAUGAAGUGCGAACGAUGGGUCAUAUCCACCACGUCAACGUGGCUCGCUUGGUUGGAUUUUGUGCUGAUGGAUUUAUACGAGCUCUUGUUUACGAGUUCUUCCCCAACGGUUCCCUGCAGGAUUUCAUUUCAUCAGCAGAUAGUAAGAAUUCAUUUCUUGGUUGGGAUAAGCUGCAAGAUAUUGCCCUAGGCAUAGCCAAAGGAAUUGAAUAUCUUCACCAGGGAUGCGAUCUACGAAUCCUGCAUUUCGACAUCAAACCCCAUAAUGUUUUGCUAGACCAAAACUUCACUCCAAAAAUUUCUGAUUUUGGUUUGGCCAAGUUAUGUUCCAAGGAUCAAAGCUUGGUGUCCAUGACUACAGCUAGGGGGACCAUGGGCUACAUUGCACCUGAAGUGUUCUCCAGGAAUUUUGGAAAUGUGUCUUACAAGGCAGAUGUCUAUAGCUUUGGAAUGCUAUUGCUUGAGAUGGUAGGAGGAAGGAAAAAUAUUGGUUCAACCACGGAGAACACUACAAAUGAAAUUUACUAUCCACAGUGGAUUUAUAAUCUUCUAGAGGAAGGGGAUGACCUACGAAUCCAUACUGGGGAAGAAGAAGAUGGUAAAAUUCCAAGGAAACUUGCAAUUAUAGGGCUAUGGUGUAUCCAAUGGCACCCGUCAGAUCGUCCUUCCAUGGAAACAGCGGUUCAGAUAUUAGAAGGAGGAGGAGAAAGCUUGACAGUGCCGCCUAAUCCCUUCAUGCCUACGGGUCCUACAACUAGAAAUGCAAGACGCCUAGAGCUAGAAGCAAUUGCUGAAUUAGAGUAAAAUGUAAUAUGCAAAUGUAU